rnacentral:lncRNA from 1 species
AGUGGUUUAUAACUACUAGUCAUUACAAAUUAUUUUACUGACCUUUUGGCGAGUAAAGUGUUUUUGGAGGGCAAAAGGUAAAAUUAAACAAAGGAGCACCGAAAUCAGAGCUAUAUCCCAAUAUUAAUCCAAGACCCAAAAGAUAAAGGAUAAAAAGCUGUUUAAAUAUUUCUAAUUGGAAAUGAUUACUCUUAAAGAAAUCUCGCAAGAAAUAAGUAUAUUCAAAAUUACCUCUAAGCUUAGAAACUAAACUAAGACUUGUUUCAGAAGAAUAAGAGGAUCCUCAAAAAUCUAUCAUCCCUUUGAUCAGACUAUUCCAUUUGUUGGCGAAGUAGGUAUUAGUAUUGCCAUCAUUAAUGUCCUCACCUGACUUAAUUUUCACCUCCAUAACGCAACUCAUUCUUAUAAUUAUCAUGUUUCUAUGGUUGCUUCUCUUUUAUCGCAAUUUCAUGCCUUUUUUAUUAUGCUAAAGGGAUAAUAAUACUUUUCAGAAGGAGUUGAUAAUUACUAUACAUAGCAGGGAGUUUAACCUUCCAAAGAUUAAACAUUUAGUUUAUCUUUAACCACGUCCAUAGAUAUAGCAUUAUCACAUUAAAAAGGAUAAAAAAGAGAUUAUGUGUUGCUAAAUAGGAAGUGAUACAAUGCUUGUUGUUACAGGUGACAUCAACACAAAAGGGUGAUUUGGUGCUUUAGUAAAAAUUUAUUUAAAAACUUUUUGGAUCAAAUCAGAGUGAAAACAUUUACCAUAAGAGUAAAAUAAGCAGCAGGGAAAUUUAAAUUGCCAUAAUAUUUAAGAACAUCAAAAUAAUAGAGUUUAAAGGAAAGAAGAAAUAACACAUAAAUAUACAAUCAGUAAACAAAAUGACUAGUCUUGUCCCAAGAUAUGAUCCGGAUAUCUAAAAUAAUAUAUUUAAUAAUUGAACAUUAAACCCUUUAUCACAAGAAAAUAAUUAUGCAACUUCCAAAACCAAAUAGAAAACUAUGGAUUGAAUAAUCUGAGUCUUCCCUUCCAAAGAUAUGGAGAUCAAAACAGUUAGCUCUUUCCACAAAGAAACUUGAGUGGUUAUUUCUUCCCAGAUUCCAAAACGAUUUAUCAUGGGAGAUGAAUCCUUGAACCUUCUGGAGAUUUUAACAUCAGGAUGAGCUCUCGUAAAUGAAACUUGAUUUUAAUACUACGCGAGAGCGCGAGAGAGAGGCGAGAGAUUUACCACUAGCUGAAUCUCGAACAUCGAAUACUUAAAUGCCUAAACUUCAACCUAAACGAAUAACUAAAUAUAAUCGCCCAAAACCAAAGCUUUUUGUAAGGGUUCUCGAACCCAGGAAAAUUUACCGCUAAAUGGAUAAAAUAUCUAUCCAAUGUAAAAACAAAAUCCCCUCGCGAAACUACAAAAAUCUAUCCUUCCAAAGUUACAACUUCCUCACUCACAAAUGACUUUCUCGAAAGCACUAUGUCUAAACUUAGUAGAGAAAUAAACAGAAAAGAUUUUAGAGAGAGUGGAGAUGUGGAUAUGAAAACAGCUUCCCUGAUUGUGAAAAAUGUGGUGCGAAUGGCAGGUUGGUGCACAUAAAACGGAAAAAAUUUUAUGCAAAAUAGAGCUAAAUCGAUUGGGCAUAAAUCCAAUCAAUGUAUGACCAAUUAAUUGAUUAAAUAAUCAAAAAGGAAAGGAAAAGAUAUUAUUUGUUACCAAUCAUUAAGUCUCUCAUAAUUAUUAGGGAUAUUUUUUAACUGGUCCCAAUUAUUGCCAAAGAGGUUCAAUCGAUUGCAAGAACAACAAUUGCCCAUAUCUUUCUAACAUUCUAACUUAAUUACACAUACUUCAUAGCAUUAUUAGAAAUAUUCUUCGAAAAUAAGUUUGAAAAAAUAUUUGUGUGUGUAUGGAAUUGGUAACCACUCAACUAUUAUAUUACAUAUAGCCUCAUAACAGAUAUUUGUAAUUAAGGUACAACAAACAUGUUAUCACUUCAAUACACCCUCUUACACUCAACCAUAUCUACUUUUUAUGUAUAAAAGAAAUCAUCAUCACUAAUUGUAUACAAUCACAAAAUUUUUAGAAAAAUCUUUUUGGCAUAUGCCAUCGGCACAUAUCAAUGGAGAUAUAAUUUUAGGUAAAAGACCAUGUAUCAAUGUCUAUACCAAUAGAAAAUAUGAUAGACUCAUAGACCUUUUGUCAUACUUUCAUUAGAUAUGAAAUUUCAAUAUCAUUGGCAGAUCGACAUCUAAAUUCAUGAAGACGAGCAAUAAUAUGUGGAAUUGGGUAAUCCACUGCUUCUGAAUCUCAAUGGUUAAACAACUGUAAUUAAAAAACAUAUAAUUAAAAUCAAUGAUAAUUAUUUAUAUUAAUUAAUAUGAAAUAAGAGUUGUGUUAACGAAUACAUACCUGAGUGACGUUGCCAAAUAGCUCCCUCCUUAUGUCUUAAUCACUGCCAAGUUUAAUUUUUAAAACAGACACUAAGAAAAUUGGUCUACUCUUUUGGUUGAUUCUUGCUACAUUCAACACUCCAUGUAAUUUAGGCUACUUUUGAUUGCAAGUGAAAGGAUAACAAAUUUGAUAUCCACCCAUACUAUGAUUGGAUAACUCAUGCUAAUUUGAAUUAGACUAAUGUCACCACCAUAUAAGCAGACAAAAAUAUUCUUUGUCAUGCAUUUGAACAUCAUUUCUCUAAGCAAAGUAUUGUUUUGUAAGUCCUCUAUACAUCUCAUUUCUUACGUCUUUUUGAUGUGUUUUAUAACUAAUCAAUGCUUGAAGACUCUACCAUUCAUAUUGCACACGCAAACGCGAAAGCAUACCGGAAAGCAAUUUUCUAGAUGAGAGUGAGAAGGGAUGUCGAACUCUCUAUGUAAAUCUAUAUGCAAAUACUCUCGCAAUGAAACUCCGUUUUAUCAUUGGUGUUCUCAUUAAUAAAUUAAUGGUAUGCCGGACGACAAACCAUCAUCCCUUGAUGGAAACAAAAUGGUACAUAAGGGUAAAUAUAUGCAUUAUCAAAAGAAAGACAUGCAAACGCCCCAAUAUCUCCUCGCGUGAUAUCCUUUUCAGCGUCUGCAAAAUCAAAAAGUCACCAUAAUAAGUUUGCCUGUAACACCGUAUUUUCCGGCCGGCAUAAUAUAACAAUAAAUUAAGUAUUCACAGCAACAAGUAAGGAUAUCCAAUUCUAGUUUUUAAACAUAACAUCCAUGUAACACUUUACCGUAAAAAUAACAAUCAACAUUCACAUAUGGGUGUCAUGCACAUCUCACUUCACUUAGGGAUCAUAAUCAAACACAACGAAAUUCUCUCAUAAAGAGCAUGCAUUAAUAAAAUCAAUAUAAACGUCAAUCACUUUAUGGCAUAUAAACUCAUAAAUAAAAUCCCCAAACACUAAAUAUCAACAUGAGAGUAUAGCAUCGACAUCCCUAACAAAACAUUAGACAAAUCUACAAUUUUGCCAAGUUUAAAUAUCAAAGCACGUAAACUAAAACACAAAAAUAAAAAGAAUAAACAACCUCUUCUCCAUCCCCAAACUCUAACAGUCCUACUAGUUAUCUGCUAUUAUAACUCCCAAAGAGAUCACAUACCAUUAUCAACAAACAAUAAUAAAUCACAAACAAUAAUAAUAGCCAUAUAUACAAGGUUAGGUACAUUCAAACACAACAUUUAUACAUAAUCUCAUUCGCAUAUCAUAAUACAUUUCUCACAUCCAUUACGCAUAAACCAAUUCACUACCAAUAAAUAUCCAUAUACUCAUUAUGCCAAUGGCAACCAACUAUAUGCAACUCCAUGGCUAUGCAUGAGGUAUCUCAACUAAUAUUUUUCUCUUCUUGGAAUCGAGUCCCCUGCUUCUGAACGCAUGACCGCAUCUUCUAACUUUGAUAAGCCAUUAGUCCCUCUCUGACUAGCAUACAUGUUCUUAACACAACUCAAUGAGUCAUGCUCACACACAUUAAAACAAGUGUUAAACCCAUUUAUAUUUUAGACAUAAUGCAGCUGACAACUUCAAGUAAUCGCCAUCUCGUAGAUACCCCACACAUAAUUUACAUUUUACAUAUGCACAAUAAUCAUAUAAUUCAGUGCUAACUCCGGUAUACAAUUGUUACACAUGGAUUUCAGUAUGAUUUAUAGGGCUUUUAUAGUAGUAGAAAGUCAACAAAGAAUAUCAAUGAAAAGACAUUUAUUGAAUAAACAUAAUGAAGUGUUCUUUAAAAUAGAGCAUUGAUGACGAGUCGUCAACAACCAACAGAAGGCUUGACCCCGCGCCAUCUGACAGAUUGAGAACGAGAUUUGUUUGGAGGGCUCUCCGGAAGCGCCCAAAAAGCCCAGAUUCUGGAAAUACCAGAAUUCUCGAGAGGCAAAUCGACUGAGCUCUAUUCCACAAAGGGUCGAUUCGACCCGCAACAGAAUAAACUUUGAAAAUUUUAUAAGUCCAGAGCUUUGACAGAGCAUUAUCACAUCAUGUUAACGUUACAUCGAAGAUUCAUGAAGAAAAAUGGAGAAGUGGGAAUAGCAGCUAACACUUCAACAUGGGUUACAAUAAAUAACGUCUUGGAGGAUACAUAUAGCGUUACCUAAGUGGAACCUGAAGACUGAACAUGUAGGCAACAUACCAACAAACCGCCCUAUGUAAUCAACCAUCAUUGAUGGUUAUCUUAUAAAUAAAUAAUAACGAGACUCAUACAUUGAUAAGGGUCACAAAUUUCAUACAACUCUCUAUAUCCACGGGACCCGAGCAUAUAGCGAAAUAUUGACGAGAAACAAGUACGACGUACCACCCUUUUUAAAUAUUUUUGUCUCUUAAACGGAACGUGUACUUUCACUUUGCUUAUUUGAUAUAUUAUUGGCAAUUUCUAUCUUAUCAUUUUAUUACAAACUUUCACUUCAUUUAAAGUCUUUGUCACACUACAUCACACAGCAUGUGGUUCAUACAAGUUUUGCACAAGUUGCUUUGCGACGAUUUGAGUAAAUCUCAUAGACUUUAAACUCGUGAUUGUUUUAACCAAAAACACCAAUAAAAAUUGGCACAUCCAGUGAGACCCUUUGUAUGGAAUACUUUGCAACAAGUAGUGUCUUAAGCUUUGUUUUUGAUUCUUCCAUUUGGGUUUCUUUGUUCCGUGCAACUAAGGAGUGGUAAGCGCUUUUCCGGUAAUCGAUGGAAAAAACCAAACACCAUCCCACAAGUAAAUCCAAAUCCAAGAUACACUAAUGUCUAAGUCGUCAGCCAGUGCUCUAACACCUCAGUCCGAGAAAGAGUCUACGAUCAAUAACCAAGAAGUGCGUAUUCUAUACCGCCAGAUAUGGGGAUUCCAUGCACAUUAAUAUCAACCACAGCCAACUGUGUUAGAAAUUAUGGAAUAAAAGACCAAUAAUUCUUAUUAGGCUUCUUUCUUCAAAAGAGCAAGCGUAUGACAUACCAAUACAUUAAGCGAAGCUUGACCCUAGUAUGUCAAUAUUCAAGAGUGUGAUGGCGACAUCAACGCCUUUUAAUCACAUAUUGGAUUCAGUGUCCAUUAAUGGGCCAGCUUGUGCCAACAGUACAACCACCAGGAGAAUUAUUGGUUUCCUCCAAUGUGCUUCGUCUUAACGCAAUAACCUACAAAAUUAAUGAUAUAGUUAAUGAAAAAGAAUCCAGAACAUCGUUCAUAACUAUUACACCGGUAGAUAGCCAACAUUUUAGCCCACUCUAGAAAACACAACUAGGAUUAUCAACAAUUACGCUCACCAAAUGGGUAAGGAUUGUUUAAGCUUUUGGGAGCACCAUCUAGGUGCCACUAACUUUCAGUGCUAACAUUCCUAUGGAUUAACCCUCUAGAAAACAGAUUUUGAAAAUGACAAAGGCCAGAAGGCCUUAACAUGUCUAGUCAGCGGAAGCUGACGGAAAAAUACCUGCCGCCUACACAUGCUCAAAGAUAUAAUAGAGUCUCCAUCAAACUUAUUUAAUCCCGAGGAAAGAAUAACAUCGAUAAAACACAGGGGAAGAGAAAAUGGUAAGAAGUGAUUACAAGGUGGGGAACACUAUUAACACCCCUCACCAUCCCGUUGUACCAAACGUAAGCAUUUUGAUUGUUCUUUGCUUUAAUGGUGUUAUAUCUUAAGAUACUCAUAAAUUGAUAUAUGGAAAGGAAGUGCUCGGUGAGGAGUAAGGCCUUAGCUACGUAUCCUAUAGUAGCAAUAAGGAAUUAGAGCUCUGUAGUUCAUAAAACUAAAAAGUGUAGAUGUAUCAAGAGUGAUCAAAAGGUAUGCUUUGAACCAUAAUAUUUUAUUUUGAACUCCAAGGAGUAUAUAUAACCCAAUGAUAAAAAUACAUAAAUCCAAAAAUAAAUGGGUUUGCCUAUAUAGGACUUACAAGAGACGUAUAAACAAAAGGUGAUGGUUUGGUCUCUAGACAAACAAAAGCUAUUGUUCGAAGAUAGGCAUUGGUAUUGCCCAAAAAUAUGGUAUGAAAUCCAAAAGUGUGUAUUUGGUUCAAAGGAAAAAAGUAUAAUCAUACGGAGAUAUAUUGAAGUAUUUAAUGAUGGAGGAUAAAGAUCUAAUGAUGCUUUAAGGAAAAAAAAGAAAUAAAAUCAAAUAUGCCUUGCCAAGAUUCAGACUUGGCCUACGUAUUCUCACGUGCAAUGAUGAACUCAAAGCCCAUAGUUCUUAAAACUAAGACGAAAGACUGAAAAGGUUUUGCCUAAGCAACUAGGACUGACAAACAAACAAAAGAUGAAAGGUAUGAACAGAAUGAUGAAAAGCAUAACUUGUAACGCAAAAAACAAUGGAUGUGGAACCACAGAAAUUGUAUUUGAUCAAAGAGUAAAGUGACAUAACCUCAUACUACCCUAAAAUUCACCUACCCGUCACAGAUUCAUUUCUAGUCACUAACCUUCAGCGUUCAAACUUAAUAUCUUAAUAACAUUCAUCUCCUUUACUUACCAUAAUAUCAUAUUACAUUCCACUGCAUUGGAAAAAAAGUAUAAUCAACGUUCAAGGGCAUUCAACCAGGGAGCAUUAGUGGAAACUCUAAUUCAAGGAGGUUGCAUCUGAUUCUUGGUUCAUUAUAAAUGAUUCAACUUGUUUGUUCACAGUCAUGGUUCCGGAUUCAUUAGUUCAAUCAUCAAGGUGUUACAAUUGUUAUUAAGUAUCAGUUGUUGUUGACAUGAUUGAACUUCAAAGUUUGAACUUGCAAAUUGUUAUUUGUAAGAAAUGGCUUUUCAUCAUAUCCAUAUCUCAGUCUGGUGCAUUCAUUUCAUAUUGGUUAUACCUGUUUUUGUGUUUCUAAUAAAAUAAUCAAUUCAUAAUAUAGUUACAGUUCAUUUGGCAUUGUCAUGUCAUCAUGUCUUUUUCACAAGAAAGGAACAUUCGCCUAAGUUGACUUUUGGUAACUGUUGACUUUUAGUCAACCGAGUUGACUCAAAGCAACAUCUAACCCAGAAUCAUUUUACAUCUCCUCUUUAAACCAUUCAUUCUUCAAUAUCUGUAGCCAUGUUCUAAAACGAGAUCCAUUCGUUUAUAUAUUCAAUCACAUUUAAAUCAAUUCACAUUACAUUCAUAUCAUACAUUCAAAUUCAAGUUUUUUCUAAUUCCAUAUCCAUCCAAAUUCUUACAAUUUCAAGUUAACAAAAUUUCAAUUUCACGCCAUAAACCAUUGCAAAUUUCCAAUUCAAUUACAUCGAUUUUUAAUUAACAACCAUACUCCAUCACCAUGACUUUCAAAUACAAAACAUUAUCCUAUAAUUCAUUUCUACAACACCAAAAAACACUCAUAACCAAAUUCCAUCAUGAACCUUAAACCAACAUUUUCCCAAAUUAAAACAUUCAAUCUAUAACGGGGGUAUUCGUUACCAUGAAGAGAUAUUGACUAAAUCUAAGGUAAAUCAUACAAGCCAUAUGCCAUCGCACUUCUAUUUACCAAAAUUGAAUGGUAGAAAAGCGACAAAAACCUAAAAGUUUAUCGAAAUCAAAAACUAGUAAAAAAGUCAAGAUCUGGGUAAGGCGGGUUGUUAUGCAAUGGAAGGUUUUAGGCACCAAAACAUCUAGGAUACCAUGGGAGCCACUUUUCACAUUUGUGGAUGUAUGGUUUGUAUGUAAAUUUGUUUGCCAAAACUGAUUGAAGAGAUAAGAAAUAGUACAGUUAUUUACAUUUGUUUUGGAUGAUUAAACCCAUUGCCUACGUACCAAUUUAAAAAAGAUAGAUCAAAACGCUCGUAUUCGGGUAAAAAUCUCAAAAGGGUGAGUUGGAUUGAUUAUCCAAAAGCCUAAGUCUUUUGUUAUCCAAGGGAGGAAACUCAACAUAAAACCUCACAAAUACACCAUGUAAGGAUAUGCUUCGACAUGCCUAGUCGAGGGGUAUACGCUGAUAAGUAGCAUGGAAGGAUCAUGUCCGAUCACUAAGAUAUAGGUGAGGCAUUACAUCUACCGUCAAGGAUAACUCAAACCUAAUCGUCAAGGUUAUGAAAGUUUGAUUAAGAAGUGGCCAUUGAAACCACAAAAAGGCAUUUGGAUGGGUUAUAUUACCAAGAAAAGUAUUUACCAAAAUGUCAAAGUUGGCUUAGAUGGUUUCAAAUUCAAAAUAAGUUAUGAAAAGAAGUUGAAAAUCAAAGCAUAAGGCUUAGGUUUCUAAAUGGUUGAACAAGUUUAAAGUUUCACAAAAAGUUUGGCUAGAGUGGAAGAAGAAAAAAAGGCUAAAGUCCUAAGCAUACAAAAAGAAGUUGAAAGGGAUAAAGAAUAAUGACCACAAUGGAGUCCUCUCUUAAGAAUCAUAUUGCAUGAUCAAGUAGCUCGUCAUCCUUUGAAUAAGCAACAAGAUCACAUAAGCAUAAACUCAAGCAAUCAAACAAUCAAAUGACCCUGGAAAGCUCCUUAAUGCAUCUUGCAUCCUCUCUCUCGUCUUGGAAGCUCAUCGUAAUUGGCUACCUCAAAUUUGCUCAAUUUGGAAUCCCUAUGCACAUAAACACACACAUCACAAAGUUAUAUAAACCAAAUGAAGAAAUGACAAGAGGAGUUUAGAAGUUGGUCCUUUCAAAGGUCAUCUUCAAUAAUAAGCAUUCAAAGGCCGCAAUGCCUAUUGCUCUUAACUGCCAAAUUGCAUAGGGAGAGGUCCUAAAGUCUAAGUCGAUUUGCCGAUUUUCUUUUGCAUUUGUCAACAGACAAACAAACAAAAACAAAAAGUAUAUACACAAUUAUUGCUCAAGUGAGCAAAAAGGCAAAUUCUUAACACAGAACAUGUGCCUCAAGGAGGCAAAGAAAAAGCAAAUAGAAUAAUAUAUGUACGAAGAAUAGUAAAUUGCAUAAAGUAAGUGCAUAAAAGAAAUUUAAUUGGUUAAUGUUAAUUUAGUAGUGUAGUGUGCCAAAGCAAUUUAGCGCUAUGUAAGCCAAUCAGUAAUUGACUAUAGUAGAAGUCCACAACUAUCUAGGUCGCCAAUAAUAAUGUGUAGGCAACACAACAAGUUUAGAAGUCUAUUAGUAACAAGUUCCAACAACUUGCCAUGCCAAAGAAAAAAGAGAAUUGAUCUUGUAUUGUUAGUCCUUUGCAUGGUUUAGAAACACCUAUCCUUAUGCAAAGCCAUUCACUGUGAUCAAUUGAUCAAGAUGAAGUUAGAUUGAAUCAGGGAAGAGUGUAAGUCUCCCUAAUCCAUGCUAACUUAUCAACCUUUAACUCAUUGACAAAAGAAAAAGAAGAAGAAGAAGGAGAUGAACAAUGAAAAGGAAAUGGAAAAAUAAAGUGCAUUAGAUAAAAAAUGUACCAUCAACAAGUGUUGCCAAUGACAUUGGCCUGGCAUAUACCAACACAAACACAAAACAAGUUGAAAUGAAGUUGAGGCAGAAAUGAACAAAAACUUUUGGGCAUCUUUACAUCAUCCGAACUAUAAAUUAAUUAAAAUAUUAAACGAAAGUCCACACUCAAUCACUCAAUCAUCACUUUAAAAGUCCAAGUGAUCUCCUAAGUUCAACAGCAACAUAGAGUUACAUACCCGAAUUUCAAGCAUGUUUUAAAAAGUCAGAAACUAUUUUAUCCAAAUUAAAUGACAUAAACAAACCCUAAUUGAACAAAAUCUCAAAUACAAUAAUAAUUGAUGAGAAUAUUUUCCAUAGUAUCAUCAUCUCAAUAUAGCUUAGGAAUAAUCUUUUAGUUUUUUGAACUAUUAAACUAUUUAAAAUGGAAUAAAAAUAACCAGAAGAAGAGAAAAUUCAAAAAUAUCUAAUCGACAAAAUAACAUAUUAAAAAUAUUUUAGAUGCAAACUAGAAUUUAAAUGGAGACAGAUGCAAUUGGUCCCAUAUUGUUUGGAAUUAUAAAUGAAGAGGUAUGAAUUUUUAAAAUAAUAGAUAACUAAUUAUAAAAGUGGAAUUUAAGAAAAUCAAAAAAACCACAGGCGCUGAUCACGCCUGCCAUUAAUUGACAGUGGCUGAUCAGACGGAUGUGAUGCGCACUCCUAUCGUGAGUCCUAGUCAAACCGCGUCACACCCUCCCGACAUGUAAAGCCAAGUAAUCCAAACGCUGUGCCUGAGAUUAAAACGUGGGAGAUGUCAUCCAAGUCUCAGAUUAAAUCUGGCAUGUGGACGGGCCGAUGCGCCACCGUCUUCUUCGAGCGAGCAUACAAGCUGCCGACCAGAGUUCAGUCCUCGCAAACUCAAGCUAAAACUCACUACUGAUCCCAGGUCGAACUCAAGUGGCGUGAUUACACACACCCGGCCAUCUAUUUCACUCUAGAUCUCCAUAGUAAGAGAAAUCAGAGUUUGAAACUUGAUGGUUUCAGCAUGACUUGCUUGAUUUUGAAAUUGAGCAUACAAAUAUGAUGCCUCAAGGAAGGGACUUCAGACACACUACAAUAGCAGCCAAAUAGACUCAGGAGUAGGGGAGUUUCGAAGCAGAAAACCCCAGUUGAAGCAUCACACGCUUUGGAUUGUAGAAGUUUUGAGCUACCUUCCUUGCUUCCUCUUGCAAACAGAACUUCUAUGGACGAUGAUGAAGGUUUAGGAUACUUAAGAUCUGAAAAUCUCAAGCUCGAAAUCAAUUGAAUUUUAGAUCUGAAUUUUUGAAGAGAAAUGAAUAUCCUUAGGUAUGGCUAAGUCAAUUGUGCAGCAUAGUCAGGCGCGGAAGGUAGCUCAAAACUUCACAAUCCAAAGGUGUGCUUCAACUGGUUUUUUCUUCGAAACUCCCUACUCCUUGAUCUAUUUGCUUGGCUAUUGUGUUGUCUGAAGUCCUCUCUAUAGAGGCAUCAUAGUUGUAUGCUCAAUUUUCAAAAUCAAGCAAGUUCAUGAUGAACACCAUCAAGUUUCAACCUCUGAUUUCUCUUACUAUGGAGAUCUAGAGUAGAAAUAGAUGGCACGGGGGUGAUGUACAUCACCCCAGCUUUAAUUCGGUACCUGGAUCGUGAGUUUUAGUUGAGUUUGGAGGACCUGCAACUCUGGUCGGAGCUUGUAUGCUCGCCGAAGAAGACGGUGGCACUGGCCACCGUCCACCAUGCCAGAUUUAAUCUGGACCAUUGGAUGCAUCUCCCACGUUUUAAUCUCAGCCAUGCGUUUGGAUUACUUGCUUUAAUGUCAGGUGUGACGCGUUUGACUUGGACUCACCAUGAGUGCGCAUCUCACAUCCGUCUGAUCAGCCACGUCAAUUAAUGAGGCUUGAUCAGACGCCUGUGGUUUUUCUGAUUUUCUUAAAUUCCAUUUUAUUUUAUUUUAUUCCAUUUAUUUUUAAAAAUUCAUACCUUCUUCAUUUUAAUUCCAAAAAAUAUGGGACCAAUUGCAUUCUUCUCCAUUUAAAUUCUAGUUUCUAAAAAUGAUUUUUAAUAUUUUUUAUUUUGUCAUUAGAUAUUUUUUAUGAAUUUUCUCUUUUCUGGUUAUUUUUAAUUCAUUUUAAAUAGUUUUAAUAUUCAAAAAAUACAAGAUUUUUUCCUAACUAUUUGAAUGAUGAUGACUAUGAAAAAUAUCUCAUCAAUUUAUUUGAUUUGAGAUUUUAGUUCAAUUGUUAUUUUUAUUCAUUUAAUUGAUAAAAUAGUUUCUGACUUUUAAAAAUGCUGAAAUUUUGUCAACUUUGUUUGACCUGUUGAACUUAGGAUAAAUCACUUGGACUUUAAAAGUGAUUUGAAGUGAUUUGAAGUUUGACCUUUCUUUAAUAUUUGUUAAUUCAAGUUAUUUUGAAUAUUAAAAUGCCCAAAUUUUUGUUCAUUUCUGACCUCAAUCUCAUUUCAUUCUGUUUGAUUGUUUACCAGUGAUCCUCAAUGUCAUGGCAACACUGUGAUUGGUACAUCUUUUUAUCUAAUGCACUUUAUUCUUUCCAUUUCCUUUUCCAUUGUUCAUCUCCUUCUUCUUCUUCUUUUUCUUUUGAUCAAUGAGUUGAAGGUUGAUAAGUUAGCAUGAUUAGGGAGACUAAUCUUCCUUGAUUCAAUCUAAUUCAUCUUGAUCAAUUGAUCAGUGAAUGGCUUUGCAUUAAGGAUAGGUUGUUUCCUAAACCAUGCAAAGGACUUAAACCAAUACAAGAUCAAUUCUCUUUUUUCUUUUGGCAUGGCAAGUUGUUGGAACUUGGUUCACUAAUCAAGACUUCUAAACUUGUGUUGUUGCCUACAUUAUUAUUGGCCGACCUCAGAUAGUUGUGACUUCUACAUAAGUCCAAUUAUGAUUGCUUAACAUAGCGCUAAAUUUGCUUAUGGCACACUAACUACUAAUAUUAACUAUUAACCAUUAACAUUUACUUUUUGCACUUUACUUUUAUGCAAUUUACUAUUCUUGUACAUAUUAUUCAUUUGCUUUUCCCUUUGCUCACUUGAGCACAUGUUUGUGUUAAUGUAAUUUGCCUUUUGCUCACUUGAGCACAUAAUUGUGUAUAUACUUUUGUGUUUUGUUUGUUUGUUGUUGACCAAAUGCAAAGAAAUGGGCAAAUGGACUUAGACUUUAGGACUCUCCCUAUGCAAAUUUGGAGUCAAAGAGCAACUAGGCAUUGGGCCUUUAGAAUGCUUAUUAUUGAAGAUGACUUUGAAAGGACCAACUUCUAAACUCCUCUUGUCCAUUCUUCAUUUGUUUUAUAUAACUUUUUGAUGUGUGUGUUUUGUGCUAGGGAUUCCAACAUUGAGCCAAAUUGAGGAGCCAUUACCAUGAGCUUCCAAGAGAGAGAGAGAGAUCCAAGAUGCAUUAAGGAGCUUUCCAAGGGUUCAUUUGAUUGUUGAUUGCUUGAGUUUAUGCUUAUGUGAUUGCUUAUUCCAAAGGAUGAGAGCUACUUGGAUCAUCAAUAUGAUCUUAAGAGAGGAACUCCAUUGUGGUCUUAUUCUUUAUCCUUCACCUCUUGUAUGCUUAGGACUUUAGCCUUUCUUCUUCUUCUAUCCACUCUAGCCAAAACUUUUGUGCAAACAUUUAACACUUGUUUUCAACAUUAGAAACCUAAGCCUUAUGCUUUUGAUUUUCAAACUUUCUUUUCAUAACACUUAUUUUGAAUUGAACUUCUAAGCCAACUUUGACCAUUUUGGUAAAUACUUUUCAUUGGUAAAUAUAACCCAUUCAAAUGCCUUUUGUGGUUUCAAUGGCCACUUUCUUAAUCAAACUUUUCAUAACCUUAGCUAUUAGGUUUGAGUUAUCCUUGAGGUAGAUGUAAUGCUCACCUAUAUCCUUAGUGAUGGACAAUGAGUCUUCCAUGCUUAUUAUAGGGUUAACCCCUCACUAGCAUGUCGAAGCUAUCCUUACAUGGUGUAUUUGUGGUUUUAUGUUGAGUUUCCUCCCUUGGAUAACAAAAGACCUUAAGGCUUUUGGAUCAAUCAAUCCACUCACCCAUUUUGAGAUUUUUACCCCGAACUACGAGGUUUUGAUCCUAAUCUUUUUUAAAGAUGGUACGUAGGCAAUGGGUUUAUCCAUCCAAACACAAAAUGUAAAUAACUCGUAUAUUCUCUUCUCAUCUCUUCAAUCAUGUUUGCACAAACAAAUUUUCACAAAAUACCAACCAUACAACAAAUGUGAAAAGGGCUCCCUAUGAGUACCUAGGAUGUUUUGGGUGCCUAAAACCUUCCCAUUGCAUAACCAACCCCCUUACCCAGAUCUCUGACUUUUUUACUAGUUUUUGAUUCGAUAAAACUUUUAGGUUUUUGUUCGCUUUCUAACCAUUCAUUUGGAUAAAUAGAAGUGCGAUGGCGAUAUGACUUGUAUGAUUUACCUUAGAUUUAGUCAAUAUCUCUAAUGGUAACGAAUACCCCGUUAUAGAUUGAAAUGUUGUAAUUUGGGAAAAUGUUGGUUUAAUGGUUCAUGAUGGAAUUUGGUUUAUGAGUGGUUUGUAUUGAAAAUGAAUUUAUAGGAUAAUGUUUGUAUUUGAAAUGUAUCAUGGUUUAUGGAGUAUGGUUGUAUUAAAAAUGAAUGUAAUUGGAAAAUUGGAAUUGCAAUGGUUUAUGGGUGAAAAUUGAAAUUUUGUAACUUGAAAUUGUAAUGAUUUGGAUGGAUAUGGAAUUAGAAAAAACUUGAAUUGAAUGUAUGAUUAUGAAUGUAUUGAAUUGAUUUAAAUGUGAAUUGAAUAUAUAUACAAAGUGGAUCUCGAAUUUUAGAACAUGGAUACAGAUAUUUGAAAGAAUGAAUGGUCUUAAAAAUAGGAAGAUGAUAAAAAUGAAUUUUGGUUAGAUGUUGACUUUGGUCAACUGGUUGACUAAAAAGUCAACAGUUGACCAAAAGUCAACUUAGGCCGAAAUGUUCCUUUUCUUGUGAAAAUAGACCAUGAUGACAAUGCAAUGCACAAAUGAACUGUAACUAUAUUAUGAAUUGAUUAUUUAUUGAACCAAACACAAACCAAGGUAUUAACCAACUAUGAACAUGAAUGCACCAUGACUGAAUAUGGAUAUGACUGAAAAGCCCAAUGUUCUUAAACCAAAUAAAACAUGCCAAGUUCCAAUACUUGAAGUUCAAUCAUGUCAAACCAACCAACUGAUACUUAAUCAAACAAUUGUAACACCUUGAAUGAAUUCUAACUAAUGAAUCAGAACCAUGGACCGUGAACAAACAAUUGAAUCAUUUAUAAUGAACCAAACGAAUCAGAUGCAACCUCCUUGAAUUAGGGUUUCCACUAUGCUCCCUGGUGAAUGCCCUUGAAUCCAUGAUUAUACUUUUUUCCAAAUGCAAGUGGAAUGUAAUAUGAUAUUAUGGAUAAGUAAAUGGGAUGAAUGCUUAUUAAGAUAUGUGAACGCUUAAGGUUAGUGACCUAGAUGAACUUGUGACGGGUAGGGUGAAUUUUAGGGUAUGACAGGUUCAUGUCACCUUUACUCUUUGAUUCAAAUAUCAUUUCCCUGUGGAUUCCAACAAUACCAUUGUUUUUUGGUACAAGUUAUGCUUUUCAUCACUUCAGUCAUACCCUUUCAUUUUGUUUGUCUUGUCAGUCCUAGUUGCUUAGGCAAACACCUUUUUUCAGUCUUUCCGUCUUAGUUCUAAGAACUAUGGAGCUUUGAAGUUCUCAUUGCACGAUGAGAAUACGUAGGCACAAGGGUCUGAAUCCUUGGCAAGCAUAUUUAUUAUUAUUUCUUUUUCUUCCUUAAAGCAUCAUUCAGAUCUUUCAUCCUCCAUCAUUAAAUACCUUCAAUAAUUCAUCUCCGAUGAUAUACUUUACCUUUGAACCAAAUACACAAUUUAUUUGGAUUUCAUACAUAUUUUUGGGCCAAUGACCAAUGCCUACCUCUGAACCAAUAGCCUUUUGUUUGUCUCGUAGACAAACCAUCCCUUUUGUUUUACGUCUCUUGUAAGUCCUUAUAUAGGCAAAACCAUUUAUUUUUGGAUUUAUGCUAGUUUUUAUCAUUGGUUUAGAUAUACCUACCAUAUGGGUUCAAACAAUACAAUCAUUUGGUUCAAAGCAUACCUUUAUCACUCUUAUUACAUCUCCCACUUUUAGUUUUAUGAACUACAGAGCUCUGAAUUCCUUAUUGUACUAUAAGGAUACGUAGGCAUAAGAGCCUUAAUCCUCACCGAGCACUUCCUUUUCCAUUAUCAUUUAUGAGUAAUCUUAAGAUAAUAACACCCAUUCAAGCAAAGAACAAUCAAAAUGUUUACCGUUGAGUACAACGGAUGUGAGGGGUGUUAAUAUGUUCCCCUUGCAUAAUCGACUUCCUUACCCAUUUUCUCUUCCCCUGUGUUUUAUCGAUGUUUUCCCUUUCCUUCGGGAUUAAAUAAAGUUUGAUGGAGACUCUAUUAUAUCUUUGAGCAUGUGAUACGCGCAGGUAUUUUUCGCGUAGCUUCACGCUGCACUAGGACCAUGUUAAGGCCUUCUGGCCUUUGAUCAUUUUCAAAAAUCCUGUUUUCUAGAGGGUUAAAUCCAUAGGGAAUGUUAGGCACUGAAGUUAGUGGCACUAGUGGUGCUCCCAAAAGGUUAACAAUCCUACCCAUUUGGUGGGUUAAUUGUUGAUAACUCCUAGUUGUGUUUUCUAGAAGUGGGGUAAACAUGUUGCCUAUCUACCGUGUAAUAGUAUGAACCAUGUUCUGGAUUCUUUUAUCCAUUAACUAUAUCAUUAAUUUGAUAGAGUUAUUGGUUAAAGACGAAGCACCAUGUGGAGGAAAAUACCAUAUUCCUCCUGGUGGUUGUACUAGUUGACCAAAGUUGCCCAUUAUGGACACUGAAUCCAAAUAUGGAUUAAAAGGCGUUGAUGUCGCCAUCACACUCUCUGAAUAUAUUGACAUACUAGGGUGCAAGCUUGCCAUUAAUGUAGUUGGUAUGUCAUACGCUUGUUCCUUUUGAGGCAACAAGAAGCCUAAAUAAGAAUACAUUUGGUCUCCUUUAUUCCAUAAUUUCCUAACAACAGUUGGUGUGGUUGAUAUUAUGGUGAUGAAAUCCCCAUAUCUGGCGGUAUAGAAUACGCCACUUCUUGGCUUAUGAUCGUAGACAUCUUCUCGACUGAGGUUAGAGCCACUAGACUGCCGACAUUAGAAAUCAUUAGUUGUUAUCUUGGAUUUGGAUUAUUACUUUGGGAUGGUGUUUGGUUUUUUCAAUACAUACCGGAAAGACGCUUACCACUCCUUAAGUGCACGGAACAAAGAAAACCACAAAAAUGGAAGACACAAAAACAAAGCUUAAGACACUACUUUUCUGCAAAAGUAUUCAUACAAAAGGGUCUCACUGGAUGUGCCAAUUCAUUUAUUGGUGUUUUUGGUAAACAAUCACGAGUUUGAAAGUCUAUGAGAUUAACUCAAAAAAUCUCCAAAGCAACUUGUGCAAAUAACUUGUAUGAACACACAUGCAUGUGAAUUGAAUGUAGUGUGACAAAAGACUUUAAAUGAAGUCAAGUUGUAAUAAAUGAUAAGAUAGAAAUGCAAUAAAUAAUAUCAAAUAAAGCAAAGGAAAAAGUACACGUUCCGUUUAAGAAGACAAAAAUAUUUAAAAAGGGUGGACGCGUACAUGUUUCUCGCUCAAAUAUUUCGCUAUAUGACUCGGGUACACCAGUGGUAUAGAGAGUAUGUAUGAAAUUUUGUGACCCUUAAUCCAAUGUAUGAGUCUGUUAUUUAUUAUAUUUAUAAGAUAACCAUCAAUGAUGGUUAUUACCACUAGGGGGUUUGUUGUGUUGCUACAUGUUCAGUCUUCAGGUUCCCACUAGUGCGCUUAUGUAUCCUCCAAGACGUUAUCUUAUUGUAACCCAUGUUGAGUGUUAGCUGCUUUCCCACUUCUUCCAUUUCUUCAUGAUCUAUCGAUGAUAACCGCUCUAACAUGAUGUCGAUAAUGUCUGUCAAAGCUCUGAGACUUAUAAAAUUUCAAAGUCUUUUAUAUCAUGUUGCUUGGUCGAUCGACCCUUUUGGUGGAAUAAGAGCUCCCGUCGAUUGUCCCUCUCGAGAUUCUGGAUAUUUCCCAGAGAUCUGGGUUUUUAGGGGGCUUACCCCGGAGAGCCCUCCAAAACAAAUCUCGUUCUGUCGAUGGCUCGGUCAAGCCUUCAUCGUUGGCUUGUUGACGACUCGUCAUCAAUGCUCUUUUUAAAGACACUUCAUUAAUGUUUAUUCAAUAAAUGUCUUUUCAUUGAUAUUCUUUGUUGACUUUCUAAUAACUGAAAAUCCAUGUGUAACAAUUGUAUACCUGAGUUGCACUGAAUUAUAUGAUAUUGUGCAUAUGUAAAUUAUUGUGUUGUGGUAAUCUAGAGAUGGGAUUACUUGAGUUGUCAGUGCAUUAUGUUAAGAUCAUAAAUGGGUCUUAACACAUUGUUUUAAUGUGUGUGAGCAUGCAUCAUUGAGUUGUGUUAAGAGACAUGUAUGCUAGUUCAGAGAGGGGACUAAUGGCUUAUCCAAAGCUUAGAAGAUGAGGCUCAUGGGUUCAGAAGAGGGGACUCGAUUCCAGAGAGAACCAAAUAUUGAGUUGGUACCUCAUGCAUAUGCAUGGAGUUGCAUUAGUUGAGUUGCAUUGCAUAAUGAGUUAUAUGCAUAUUUAUUGAGUUGUGAUUGGUUUAUGAGUAUGGAUGUGAGAAUGUAUUAUGAUAUAUUGCGAAUGAGAUUAUGUAUAACAUGUUGUGUUUGAUGUCCUACCUUGUAGUAUAUGCCUAUUAUUAUUGUUUGUGAUUUAUUAUUGUUGUUGAUAUGGUAUGUGAUCCUCUUUGGAGUAUAUAUAAGCAGAUAACUAAGUAGGUGCUUAGAGUUGGAGGAUGGAGAGAGGUUGUUUAUUCCUUUUUAUUUUUGUGUUUUAGUUUACGUGCUUUGAUAUUUAACAUUGGGAAACAUUUGUGAGUUUUGUCUAAUGUUUUGUUAGGGAGUCGAUGUAUACUCUCAUGUUUGAUAUUUAGAUGUUUUGGGGAGAUUUUAUUUAUGAGUUUGACUAUGCCAUAAAGUGAAUUUGAAGUUUAUAUGAUUUAAUUAAUGCAUGCUCUAUUAUGAGAAAUUUCGUUGUGAUGAUACCCUAAGUGAAGAUGAGCAUGUGAUGACACCCUAUGUGAAGAUGUUGAUUGUUAUUUUAUACGAUAAAGUGUUACAUGGCAUGUAUGUUUAAAAAAUAGAAUAUGUGAUAUCCUACUUGUUUGCGUGAAUACUCUAAUUUAUUGUAUAUUUAUGCACGGGGAAAAUACGGUGUUACAGGCAACACUUAUUAUGGGUGAUUUUGAUUUUGCAGACGCUGAAAGAGAUAUCAUCGCAGAGGAGAUAUUGGGGCUUUUGCAAUGUCUUUUUUUGAUAAUGCCAUCAUAUUUACCCUUAUAGUAUCCAAUUUUGUUUCCACAAGGAGAUGAUGGUUUUCGUCCAGGAAUACCAUUAAAAUUUAUUAAUGAGAACACAAAUGAUAGAAAAAACAGUUUCAAUGAGAGAGUGAUUUGCAUAUAGGAUUUAACAUAGAGAGUCUGAGCAUCCACUUUUACUGCUAUCUAGAAAAUUGUUUCGGUAAUUUUUGGUUGGUGCAUAUGACAUGGUAGAGUCUUCAAGAUUGAAUUGGUAUAAAACACAUCAAAAAGACGUAAGAAAUGAGAUGUAUAGAGGACUUACAAAUACAAUACUUUGUAGAGAAACUGAUGUUGCAAAUGCAUGACAAAGAAUAUUUUUGUCGUCGUCUUUUAUAGGUGGUGCACAUUAUCUAAUUCAAAAUUAUCAUGAUGUUAUGCAAUACAUAGAUGGGCUGGAUAUCCAAAUUUGUUCAUCACUUUCACUUGCAAUCAAAAGUAGCCUAAAUUACAUGGAGUGUUGAUGUAGCAAGAAAUCAAACCAAAAGAUAGACCAAAUUUUCUUUGUCGUGUUUUUAAAAUUAAACUUUGGCCAAUUGAUUAAAGACAUAAGGAAGGGGAGAUAUUUGGCAAGGUCAAUGCAGGUAUGUAUUGUUAACAACAAACUCUUAUUUCAAUAUUUAAUUAAAUAUAAAUAAGUUAUAUCAUUGAUAUUUAAUUAAUAUUUUUUUUAAAUUACAGUUGUUUACACCAUAGAGUUUCAGAAGCGUGGAUUACCACAUUCCCACAUACUUAUUUGCUCGCGUCAUGAAUUUAGAUGUCGAUCUGCCAAUGAUAUUGACAAAAUCAUAUCUACUGAAAAUUAUGACAAAAGUCUUGAUCCUAUCAUAUUUCAUAUUGUAUAGACACUUAUGAUACAUGGUCCUUGUGGACCUAAAAUUAAUAACUCUCCAUGUAUGUAGCCGAAUGGCAUAUGCACAAAAGAUUUUUCUAAAAAAUUUGUUGAUAGUACUACAAUUAGUGAUGAUGAAUUUCUUUUAUACAUAAAAAUAGAUAAUGGUAUGAGUGUAAAGAAGGGUGGUAUUGAAGUUGAUAACAUGUUUGUUGUACCUUAUUACAAAUAUCUGUUAUUGAGGUAUAAUGCUAAUAUAAAUGUUGAGUGGUGUACCCAAUUCCAUACACACACAAAUAUAUUUUCAAACUUAUUUUUCUCAAGAAAAUAUUUCUAAAAAUGCUAUGAAGUUGUGCUAGAUAAGUUAGAAAAUGUUAGAAAAGAUAUGGGCAAAUUUUUGUUCUUGCCAAUCGAUUGAAACCUUUUGGCAAUCAAUUGGACCAGUUAAAAAAUAUCCCCUAAUAAAUUAUGAGAAGACCUUAAUGAAUGGUAACAACUAAAUAUCUUUUCUUUCCUUUUUGAACUUAUUAAUCAAUUAAAUUAGUCAUACCAAUUGAUUGGAGAUUUAUGCCAAUCGAUUAGCUCAUCAUUAUUGCCCAUAAAACUUUUUCCUUUUUUGUGCCAACCUCCAUUCCCACAUAUUUUCACAUCCAGAAACAUGUUUUCAUAUCCCACAUCUCACACUCUCUCUAAAAUUCUUUUUUGUUUACUUUCUCUAACUAAAGUUUAGCGAUAGUGCUUUCGAGAAAGUCAUUUUGUGAGUGAGAAAGUUGUAACUUUGGAAGGAUAGAUUUGUAAGUUCGCCGAGGAAGAUUUUGUUUUUACAUUGGAUAGAUAUUUAAUCCAUUUAGGGAUAAUUUUCCUGGGUUCGAAGCUAAACCCUUAAAAAGCUUUGGUUUGGGGAUUAUAUAUUAAAGUAUUCGUUUAGGUUUGAAAGUUUAGCCCAUUUAAAGGUAUUCAAUGUUCGAGAUCAACCUAGUGGUAAAAUCUCAUAGGUUUUUGGUUAGUCCAGUAUAAAAUCAAGUUUCAUUUUACGAGCUCAUCCUGAUGUUAAAAUCUCCAAAGGUUCAAGAUCAUCUCAUGAUAAAAUCGUUUUUUGAAUCUUGAAGACUAACCACUCAAAGUUUCUUGUGGAAAGAAGACUAACUGUUUUGAUCCAUCAUUUGGAAGGAAGACUCACUACUUCACUCCAUAGUUUUCUAUUUGGUUGGAAGUUAGCCAUAAACUUCAUUUUCUUUGUAUAAGAGGGUUUAAUAGUUCAAUCUAUUAAAAUAUAUUAAGUUUAUUAGAUACUCCCGAGAUCAUAUCUUGGGGACAAGACUAAGUCAUUUUUUUUACUGAACUUGUAUAAUUUAUGGUGUUAUUCUCUCUUCCUUUAAACUCUUUAUAUUUGUGUACUUUAUAUUAUGCAAUUUAAAUUUCCGCUGCUUAUUUUUAAAACUCUUAUAAAAUGUUUUCAACUCUGAUUUUGAUCCAAAAAGUUUUUUAAAUCAAAUUUUUACUAAAGCACCAAAUUCACCCCCUUUUAUGUGUGAAGUCACAUGUACAACAAGCAUUGUAAUCACCACCUUCCUACUUGCAAGCACAUAAAUCUAUAUUUUUAUCCUUUUUAAUGAUGAUAAUGCAUAUAUCAUGGACGUGGUAAAAGAGAAAAUAAAUAGUUUAUCUUUGGAAUGGUUAAACUCCCCCUCAUAUGUAUAGAUAAUAUACUCAACUCCUUUGAAAGUAUACUUAUCCCAUUUUAGCAUAAUAAAAAAAGGCAUGAAAAUUGCGAUAAAAAGAGCAAGCACAUAGAACACAUGAUUACACAAUUAUAAGAAAUGAGUUGCCCGAUUAGGAGGUGAAAAUAAUAAGUCAAGAGUGAGACAUAAUGAGGCAAUACAUAAUACCAUACUUCUCCCAACAAAUGGCAACAUCAAGCUCUGAGAUCAAAUGGUAGAUAAGAUUUUUGAGGAAUUCCCCUCCUUGAUUCUUUCUUGAACAAGUCUUAGUAGCUUUCUAAGUUAAGAGGUAAUUUUGGAAUCUACUUAUUUCUUGCCGAGAUUUCUUUAAAGAGAUAAUCAUUUCCCAUUAGAAAAUAUUUAAACAAUCUCUUUUCAUCCUCCUUUAUCUUUUGGGUCUUGGAUUAAUAUUGGGAUAUUAGCAUACUGAUUUCGGUGCUCCUUUGUUUUAGAUUUUACCCUUUUGCUCCAAAAACACUUAAAACUCAGCCAAAAGGUCAGUAAAAAAUAAUUUGUAUUGACUAAGUAGUUAAUAAACCACUUAUUAAGAGACAAUCCGAGUUUUCUUUUUUUGAACCUCUAUUAAGUGUACUACCUAAAAGCUUAAAGGUAACAUAAGAAAACUCCCCCUUUCAAGGGAACGACGAACCACCAUCGAUUUUCCUUCUCUAUGGAUCAUUCGAUACAAGAUUUGGUUCAAAAACAAAAAUGAUAAAUCCAUUACAAAUGUAUCAACUUGACCUUCUAAUAGGUUCCAUGAUAAUUAGGAUAAUCACAAUUGUUGAGCAACAUUUGACUUGAUAGAAAUAUCAUGACCAAAAGCCAUUGGGCAACGACUCUCUCUUGUUCCGAUGCUUUGCACGAGUUCACUAGAAUUCCAAGGAACACUCCUUUAGAGCUACAAAACAUUCCUUAGGUUGAUAUGUUUAAGGAAGCUUUCCUAUGAUUGGUGAAUUUGUAAUAGAAUACCAAAGCUCCCCCGUCAUAGACCUUUUAAUUUGCAUCAUAUCGAAAAAGUCCUUGCACAAGGAUUUGUUAGUAGCACUAAACCGAUAAAAGACAUGCACGAGAAAAAGUUGUACUCAGUUUGAAAAAGGAUUGUAUCAUCCUUAAUUAUUAGAAAAAUGUUUUCAAGUAGAAAAUUGCUCAUAUUAUCAAACCAACCUCUAGGAGCUUGUUUUAAUAUUAUAGAAAGCCUUUUUCAUUUUGAAAACAUAAGUAAAAAAUGUUUUACAAAAUCGGGAGGAUGAUUAACAUGAAUUUCCUUCUAGAUGUAACCGUUCAAGAACGUAAUAUUUAUAUCCAUUUGGAAGAGUUUAAUAUAAUGCAUGAGAAAGCAAAAAGCAUCCUUAUGGCUUCAAAUCGAGCUACAUGGGCAUAAGUUUCAUCAAAAACUAUGCAUUCAUGUUGAUUAUGAACUCUCACAACGAGUCUUAUUUUAUUUAUCAAAACAUUUCCAAAAACAUCAAGCUUAUUCUAAAAGACCAACUAAGGUUCCAAUCACUAGAUUGACUGAAGCUUUAGGAAUAAGUUUCUAAAUGUUGUUUCUUUCAAAUUGAUUUUAUUCUUGCUCAGAAAGAGCCUAAUUUUCGUUGAUGACAACUUCAUAAAUUCCUUUUGGAUCAAUUUAUGAAAUAAAAACCACAAAAUUAUAUACCUUUUUAAGGGAGUGUCGAGUAGCAUCUCCCUUAGAAAUAUCUCCAAUUACAUUCUGGAUAGGACGGUCUUUGACCAUUAUCUAUUUCUUCGGAAGAUCCUGAUGAUCUACAUGAUUUUCUUCAUUAUGAUCUUGAAAUCUAUCUUGAUCUUGAUCGUGUUCUACUUAUUGAUCUUUAUAUAAGUUUGUCUUUUCCAUAAUUCAUGGACAAUCAAAACCUCCACUUCUACCCACCAGGGUUAAUUCAACAGAGGUAGUAUGUAUGAGUUCUUAUGUAGUCACAAUCUUUUCGAAAAGAAGUAUGUUUAAAAAUGUUUUAUUUUAAGGUUUUUAAAUACCACGCAUAUAGAAGAAUUAAAAGAUAAUAUUGCCUUUGCCACACAACUUACUUAAAAGUGAAUUGUGAAAUGAAACUUUAAUCAAUUAGAGCAACUCAAGGGUAAGAUUAUGGAUCUUAUAAAAAAUCACAAAUUCAAUGAUUUUGCCUUGUUGUUUUAUACAAAGAAACUUUUCUCCUUGUAGGAGUGAAAUAAGAGAGCUUAUUUAUUUCUUUAGUUGUAUGACUUGAAGAACCACUAUCUAUAUCAUAUUUUGAAUUCAAGUUGUCAAGCAUAUCUGCAUCAUAAUUUGACUUUUCGACCUCUGGAACCCAAACCAUUUUGGGUCCUUUCAUGUUAGUGGAGUACAUAUUAUGAGCAAACAUAUUUCUUUUUUUAUAUUCAGAGUGCUCUUUAUAAAAAUGCAAGGGAGGAUAUUAUUGUUUACUUUCAUGGUUUUUUUGGAUAAGAUACAACAUAUAAAUAUGGUCGUCUUUAUUAUAGUAAUUGCAUUUUUGGGUUUUGCAUUUAGAUGUUGGUUGGGCAUUGCAAAUAUUGCUAAAGCUUUGACUGGUUUUCUUAGGUUCAUAACAAUUACCAUCCUUACUGUAAGACGCCCUUUGGUUACCUAACAAAAGAUACACGUUGCCUAUUCCUUUAGUGAAUUUAUAAAAUACGUUUCAAGAUCAUCAACUUUACUUUUCAAAAUGUCACAUUGAUCACACUUGAUAGAUUCAUAUAAGACUUUGUGAGAAGAUGAGGAGUUCUGAAUCAGAUCAUUUUGUUUCUCUUUAAGAAUUUCUAUUUCUUCAAAUAAAUUUUUAUUUUUCAAUUCGAGGGAAGAAAUAAUGUCUUUAGAGAUAGAUAAAAUUUGUUCUAAUUUUUACUUGUUUCUUUAGUUAGUUUUUUACACAUGUGAAACAAGUCUUUAUAAGAAAAAUAAGAGGUUACCUCAUAUUUUUCAUUAUUUUCCAUGUGACAAGUGUUUUCUACUUAUUUGUUAGAGGAUUCCACAUCAUUGUCAUCCCAAGAUAUGUAAUCUUUCUUAACUUCUUUUCUAGGUUUCUUAGAUCUUCUUUGAUUCUGGUUUCUUCUCUAGUUUUGAAGGCAGUUUGGUCUUAUGCACAAAUCUACAUACAUGCACGUAUGAAGACUGCAACAACAUAUGGACUUAAUUUUGAUGUUGACAAUGCUCUUAAGAGGAGUCUUGUUGUUCAAGGAUAUGAUUUCUCAAGUGAUCCUGCUUGAUAUGUUUGCUUAAGUGACGAGGCUUGAUAAUAUGUUUGUCAAGUGGUGGUGCUUGGUAUGUUACUCAAGUGAUAAUGCUUGAUCAAAUGAAACCCGAUUAUCAUUGUUAUGCUUGGAAAUUAAGUUAUCUAUGCAUAUCUAUGAAGACAACACCUUGUGCCAAGCAAAAUUCAAUGAAGUCAACAAAGAUCUCUGAUAAAGUAGUUUACUUAAUAAUGAAGUUUAUUAUGAAGACAUAUCUCAAUUCUCGUCAGAAUAAGAUUCAAGAUGAUGGUAAUCAACAUGGAGAUAUCUCAAGUCUCACUAAGAAGACUCAAGUUCUUGUGUGGUGUUCAAGUCAAAGUUAAUAAUGUCAAUACUUGAAUCUUUAAAGUGUAAAAGAUAAGAAAUUUGAAAUAUCGUCUGAUUAUGCGAGUCUGAUUGAUUAAUGUCUUCUAAAGAUACAAGGGUAUUUUUGGAAGUAUUGUGGCUAAAUUAAACACACACACACACACACACACUCUCUCUCUCUCUCUCUCUCACACACACACACACACACACAUUGAGAAGCCUUUAAUUUUUUUAACCAAAAAAUAUUUUUGGGACCUAACCAGUUGUUUAGGGGACUCUCUGUUUGAUUAUGAGUCUUUUUUACCUGUCUAAUCGAUUAGAUCAUAUGCCUAAUCGAUUAGAUGAUGCCUAAUGGAGUCUAUAAUUGACUAUGACAGUCUCUUACUGAUUGGUAACAAGUAUAUAUAAAACCCUUCCAUUUUGGGUCUUAAUAAUAAGUUAUUUAAGGUGCCUAAUUGAUUAGCCUAAUCGAUUAGGUGUGUUAAAAGACUUGUGAGUUGUUUCCAAAUUUAUACCACACUAUGACCUAUAAAUAUAUAGCCUUUCUAUCACUUUUUCACAUUCAUAAAACGCGAAAAAUCUUACUUUUAUUUUAUACUCAUCACCUAUCUAAAUAUCUCAUAUUUUUCACAUAUUUUAGCCAUAUUAUUUUAAGAGCGUGCUUGAGUCUAGCGAGGAAAUUGUUAUAGGUUAGAGCAAAAUUGUAAAUUUACCAAGAGUAGAUUUUUCUCUUGAGUAAAUAAUCUUUCCUUAUUCCAAAAAAAAUAAAAUAAAUAAUCAUUCCUUAGGAAUUGAGUAUUUUGGUUGGGAGCUAAACCAUUUAAAAGCUCUUAUUAGUAAUCUGGAGAUUGGGUUAGUCUUCAUUUGGUUUUUCAACCCCAGCAUUGAAAAAACUCUCUUUUGGUUCGUGAAGAUCAACCACUAAAAAUCUCCACAAUAGUUCUUGAGUUUAGCCCGAUUAAACGCUUUAUCAGUUUGAGAUCAACCUGGUGUAAACUCUCACUUGGUUUCCGAGUUCAACUUGAUAUUGAAAUCCCACUAUGUUUGAGAUCAUCCCGAUUUUGGUUUUGGAGGAUAACCCACUUAAAACUCUGUCUUGGUUGAAUAUUAGCCUACACAAAAUUUUGUUUGGUGUGAAGACUAAUCGCUUCAAGUCGUAUUCAUUGUUUGGUUAAAAGUUGGUCAGCAAGUUAAUUUCCUUAUAUUAGGGGUUUAAUAGGCAUAACCUUAUAAACCUUAUAAAAGCUCUAAAGCAUACAAACCACUCUAAAAAAAAAUUAUGGUGGAUAUGAUUAAGUCUUUUUAGCCGAACCUGAAUAAUUCUCCGAUGAUAUUUCUCUUUUCUUAUCUCCUUAUUUUUUAGUUAUUUAUUUUUAUUUAAUUAUAAUAAUUUCGUUUGUAGGCUUUAGUAUUUAUAAUUUUAUAAAUAUAUAUAAUAUUUAAAAUUUUAGCAUUUUUUAUAUUAUUUUAAUUUUUAUAAAAUUAAUAUAUAUUAAAUCUAAAUAUAAAAUAAUUUUGAAGAACUAAAACAAAAUUAAAAUGAUCAAAAUGAAAUUAGGUUUUUGUAAAGGACAAAAAAGAGAAUGCACACCCGAAAACCUAAUGAACUAUAUAAGGUUAUCGACUAACAUCUUAACCUAGAGUUUUUGGCACAAGAGAAGGCAGGCAACAGCAGAAGCAUCAACAAAAUGGUUCUCAAGUAUGUUUCUCUCCCUGUUCUGUUUCAUUCAUCUUUCUCAUGAUGUUUUGAUUCUAUUCAGUUGUCUAUGUUCCCAUUCAAUGAUGUUUCUAUCGAUUUUUUUUUCUGUCGUUCAUAAUCAUAUUAUUAGUUUACCCUAAUGGAUUUACUCUAAUGUCUUGUAUUUGGAUUAUUUCUGCUUGGGGUUUAGACUAAUGGGUUGUUGAUAUUGGUGUGUGUUAGGACCGAGCUGUGCCGUUUUAGUGGUGCCAAGAUCUAUCCUGGGAGGGGAAUCAGAUUUAUCCGAAGUGAUUCACAGGUGAUAAGAAUAUGGCUGAGUUUGAAGUUUGUUAUUGGGUUCUGAAUUUGAUUUUUUGGUGAUUGGUUGUUUAUUUAAUGGUUUUUUGUGUUUGUUGAUUUAUUAUUAGGUUUUCCUUUUCGUUAAUUCGAAAUGCAAAAGGUACUUCCAUAACAAGUUGAAGCCAUCCAAGCUUACCUGGACUGCCAUGUACCGGAAGCAACAUAAGAAGGUAAAUUCAGCUUGAGUAAAAUGGUUUUUAAUGGUUCUGUAUUUUAUCUAAUGACAAGCUAUCAAAUAUAUACAUGUUACUGUGCCAUUUUACUAUCUCUUAUUUUGAUGCAAUGCGAUUUGAAGUCUGUGUUUUGAUUUCAUACAUGCUGAUUUUUUGUUUGUGUAUGUGCAGGACAUUGCCCAAGAAGCUGCAAAGAAGAGGCGCAGAGCUACCAAAAAGCCUUACUCAAGGUCUAUUGUUGGUGCAACUUUGGAAGUUAUUCAGAAGAAAAGAUCAGAGAAGCCUGAGGUUCGCGAUGCUGCCAGAGAAGCUGCUCUUCGGUGUGUAUUCUUUUUUAUUUCAUGCAAGGAUUAGAUAAACAUAUAAAUGUGUAUACCAUUUCUCACAUACUGAAGUCAUUAUGUUUUUUUUGCAGUGAAAUUAAGGAGAGAGUGAAGAAAACCAAGGAUGAGAAGAAGGCAAAGAAGGCAGAAAGUCAAGCUAAGGCACAAAAGGGUGUAGGAAAAGGGAAUGUUACCAAGGGUGCUGCAUCAAAAGGUCCUAAGCUUGGUGGUGGAGGCGGAAAGCGCUGAACACUUGGUGUGUUGGAUUUUUGGAUAGCUCUCGAGUAGAGUUUUGAAAUUUUUGCUUUGAUAAUUUAUUUGUUGGAUCAAUCUUGUAUUUUGUUGUCUUGUCAAAAACUUAUUUUGGAAGAUUUUUCAGUCACUGAUUUUGAGUUUGUAUGAAUUCUCUUCCAUGCUUUCUAUUGCUUGAACUAUCUAUGGCUAUGUUUCAGUUGCUUUAGUAAAUGAUCUCAUAUGGUAUAGUUUCUAAUCAUUCACAACAGAAAUAUCAGGAAAAUAAUUUUACAAAAGGCCAUGACUCAUGAGUAACUUGCAUAUAUUUGGAUUCUGAUGAAUACAUUUCUUUUUGAUUUUACAAAACUUAGUGUUACAAAAAAUAUCAUUGUGUCACAAUAUACGUCUGUUGGAUGAAUGUUCAGCUCCGCAUAGUCCAUGUUAUGAAAUGAUGGUUUUCAGAAAUGAGGUUUGCCUAAGAAGAUAAGUUUUGCUGUAGUUUGUUUGGAUCAUCCGAGACAUUUCCUGAAAUUUAUUUAUCGGAUAGAUGUUUGAAUUGCAAGGGUUGUUGGAAAGCUGAACUGUUGUGGCAACCUCUUUAGGCCAACCAUGAAGCAAAUGAUCUGCAUCAAGCUUCUGUCUGGUCCCUAAUAGAUUGUAACCUUACUAUUGGUUUUGUUAAAGGAUGAACCAGUGCGAAGUAUUUUAGGAGAUCCCAUGGCGUGCAAUGCGUGUGGGAGAAGCCUCCAAGUGGAACUUCAAGUUCAUUGUGGAUGUUACAUUUCGCCAAGAUUAAUGUAUAAUUCAUGUAUUCUUGUGGAUUGCUCUGCAUGAGAGGUUAAGGGGUCAUUAUGUUAUGGCUUAUACUCUAGUUCAUUGUCUUAAUUUAAAAUUAUUUAUACAAAUUUUAUUGUUUAGAUAAGUCUUGCUUAGGGGUGGAAAAUGGGCCGGGUAGGGUUGAGAUUUUGUGUUCGUCUAUUCAGAAAAGAAGCCGGUUGGUGCGUUAGUCUAGUUAUCAAGAUUCAUAAUGAUAGGAUAAUUUAUCCUAAUUUUUUUUUUAUUUUUUAAUCUUAAAAAUUAAUAUUUUUAAUUAAGAUUCUUUUAUAAAUUAAGAUGAUAUUUUGGAUCCAAAGCUCAGUAUAAUUCAACCCAAGCCUAAUAUCCAAUUUAUCAAUAUUGAGCAGCCAAAGGUUACUCAGAGUGCCCCAUAAUCAGUAUCAUUUUAGCACAUUUUGUAAGAGUUUGAACAUAGAAACAGACAUAUUUGAGUGCCUGGAACAAGAUAUAUAACAAAAAAAAGUAUGCAACUUAUCUUGUACUGACAAGUUGUAGUAAGUAUGUUUGAUACUGAAACAACGCAGUACUUAUAAACGGGAGCAACGAGAAUCAAUGUUUUUUUUUCCACUUGGCUAUAAGAAAGACUGAAAAUGAUAAAUUUGAGGGAAGUUCUGAUUAAAUAAACCUAAUGCAGUCACAAAAAAUGAAUGCUGCUGCAUUGUCGAACUCUACAAGUAAAGCAACUGUAGUAAAGCACAUUCAUUCUGAAGUGGAUUACUGCAAUGCAAUGUAUCUUAUUGUUUCUAAAUCGUUUGAGCUUCAAGGAAUUAGUUAGCUGCUUAAAAGAAUUCCCUUGUAGUUGUUGGAAUGUGUAGUUGUGUUGAUCGUAUGGUGUUGAAUGCAUGAUUGGAUAGAGGGAAAUCCUUAAUUCUAUUAGGUUUUCCAUUUCCCCCCUUUUUGAUGAAUGAUUGAUGAAUAUGAAUUAAUUAUGUGAUUGUAUGAAUUAUGUGUUGUAUUGUGCGAAAUUCGUGCACUGUUUUACCAUGAGAGUUGUGUGUUCUUGUUGAAGGAGUUGGUAUGAAUUGGUGUUUAUACGUGUGUUAUGAUUUGGAUGAACAAACAUGUAAAACUAUGAUUAAUUGAUGAAAUUGCAUGUUAAUUGGUGGAUAAAUGAUGUUUCUAUGUUACAUAAUAUUUUUCCUAUUGUUGUUGAUCGAUUUGAAGAUUGGGAAGGGAAAAUAGGAGUUCUGAAUUGAACCCCGUGGCCCAAAAUGCAGAUUAUGUUUCUGCUUCAAGGUGACAGGCGUCACCCUCAUGACAACUAGAUCGUCAUGGUCUUUGAGGCGCUGACGGGCGUUAGCUGCUUGACGGGUAGACCGUCAUGGUCCCCAUACACAAUUUUAUGGGACGAGCGCCAUGGUGAUGACAUGUGAGGUGGUGUGAGAGGUGACAGACGUCACAUUGGUAACGAGUAACCCAUCAUGCUACCGAUUGAGCGAUGUUUGCUCAGUUGCUUGAAAUUAAGUUGUCGAUUCCGAUUUUUAUUGCUGUGCUGUGAUUAGGUUACUGUUUGAUCACUGUUUGGAGAUAUUUUUGUGUUGUUUAUUAUUGCUUGUUGAAUUAAUAAUUUGUUAUGAUGUUCUGCAUAAUUCUGGAAAAUGCACGAUGAUAAUUGUGGUGAUAUUGCAUGUUGUUGAAAAUCAUGCAUCAUGGUGUACGAACUUCGAUCCAGUUUGAUGUGCUCUAGUCCGAUAAUGUGGGUUCAGAAGCGAGUAGCUGAUUCUAGAUGAAAAUCAGUGAAGCAUUACUAAAGGUGUUAGUAGCGAUUUGAUGUGCUCUGGUUCUAAGGUGGAAAAUCAGGAGUGAGAUGGACUUGUGUUGCCCAUAAUGAUACCACAUGCAUUGUAGAGUCGUGGUGUUUGUCAUACCCCAAAAUUCACCCUCCAUUUUUCUACCUUUUGAUUAGUUUCAUUUGCAUACAUGGAAUCAUAUCAUCAUCAUAACUUUAGCAUGACCUUUGCAUUAUGUCAUUGGCUCACAACCAUGACCACAUUCUUUGUUUAAUCUUAACAUUAGGGUUUUUUUCAUUUUGAUUUAUUUAUCAACUAACCAAAGCAUCAAUAAGAGAUGAUACUUGUUUGUUUUCUUGUUCAUGUAGGUGAUCAUGCCUUAAUUCAACACAAAUCAAAAGGUCAUUUUGGUCAAGAAAGAUGCAAGUGUGGUUCAUUGAUUCAAAGGUGGUUCAUGUGUUUAUUUCCAUGCCAUUUCAUCCAAUCUUCAAGCCAUCCUCAAGAUCAUUCAAGCCUUAAUCAAGUUUUAUUUAAGGGAUGUUCAUUCCAUAAUCAUUUUGACUUGGAAUGCAAGAGAAUUUCAAGCUUGCACAAGUUGCAUAAGUUUGAUUGACCUAAUUUGCAAGUGUGGCUUACUUUUGGUCGAAAUCCCAUAACUUCUUCAAUUUUCAACCAAUUGACAAGCUUUUUUGAGCCAAAUGUUCCUAAUGAGUUCCUCUACAACUUUGCUUCAAGUAUCAAGCAUCAACUAAACCCUUAAGGACCUCAAUUUUGGAAAGUGAUAAGUUGCAAAAAUGGGCCAAACCCUUGUCAUGACACUCACUUGGCAGUCAUGCCAUUUUAAGCUCUAGCAUCCUUUUGCCUUUUAUUAAGAUUAUGUCAAAGUUCAUUUGUCCCAAGUUUGGAUCAAAAUGCACUAGGGAAUCAAAAGUUAUGGUGUCAUGAACUUGGAGUCGCAAGAUGCCCAAAACAUGCCAAGACUGUUUGAUCAAAUGCCUGACCUAGAGGGCAUGUCAUGACCUUAACUUUCAACACUUGCCAUUUUCACCUCAAGCCUCCUUUUGAUGUGGUUCUUUUUGCAUUGUACUCAUUGCAAUGAGAUGAACAAAAGGCACAAAUAAAAUAACAAAAUGCACGAGUGAAUUUCACUUGGCCUGGCUUCAAACGUGGUGCCAUGGACUCCGUUUUGUACGAACCCCAGAUUUUGCAAUUACAUGUCAUUUUUCAUUUUGGGACUUGCACAUGUGAAACUUGUUUCUGAUGCUAAAAUGCGUGCAACCCAACACAAAAUGACCAGGUUUAAUCAUCAAUUCAUGAUUUUCACUCCUCAUUUCACACGAGUUUCGUUUUGCAAAUGUCAACCAUAUGUUACACGAAUUUCAGAUCUAUUUGACAUGUGUGAGCUUCCCAUUUCAUUUCCUAUAAAUAGAGGAGUGAUUUGCCUUCAUUUACAAGCUUGAAAAUCCAGAAAAACCCCACCUCACUUGAACCUGAUAUCACUCUAAAACCAGUUUGUGGUUUCUUCGGUUUAAGCUCUUUCAACCUCAAAUCUUUGCUCAGAAAGCUUCUUCGGCAUCAUCUGAAGCUAAUUGUAUCAUCACUUUGCCUUGAAACCUCUUGCAUCGUGCUUCCCAUUUCUUCCAUAAUUAACCUUGAAAGCUUCAACUGGAAAUGUAGCUACGAGUUAAAUCCUUGAGCAAAAAAGUUACCACCCCCUUCACAUUGUUCCACUGAUCAAAAACCACAAAUUACCAUUCAAUUAUCCUUUGUAUUAGUCAUUAAAUUUUACUUUGAACACUUAGGAUUCUUUGUGUUUUUGAGCAAAAUUCUCCCUGCUUAGAGCCAAUCAAUGACUCUGAUGCAGGGAGACAUGGACGAUGAUGUGUUGCGAAGCUAACUCCAUGCUUAGGUGUUGCUAAAAAUACGAGUUCAUGUGACCUGCAAAAUUGGACAUAGGUUGAAGGCGAAGCUUCCUUUGUGCGCCACGGUGCGAAAUAUUUGAAUCCGUCCAAUCAAAAGCUUCCACGCGUUUUUUUUGAAUUAUGUAGCUGUUGACACCCUAAUUUUCUUUUUAGUUUCUUUUUCUUUUAUUUGAUUUCUUUUCCAAUUAAUUUAUCACUCAUUUUAAUUCAAUUCGAUCUAAUUUUUUUACACAAAGUCUAUAAAAAUACUUUACAUCACAUAUAUUUUUCUCAUAUUUUUUAAAAAUAAGUUUUGCAUUUUUGAUUAUUUUUAGUUCAUUUUCUUUUUAAUUUCCUUUUGCAAUUUGUUUUUUGGUCAUUUUCAAACCUUUUUGCAUCCAAGUUUUGAAAUCCAUUCAUGAGUAAUAUUUGGGACUUUAUGUAUUUUUCUUGACCAUUUAUUCAUUGUUUUGCUUAUGGUUUAGAUUCUCUCUUUAAUUUCCCAUUUUUAAUCCUUUUUAAUCCUUUUUAUUUCAUUUUUAGUUCAAAAUUUGUCAUUCUUUUGAUUUUGCUUGAGUGAUUGCUUGGUUGAUGAUAUCUUCAACAUUUCAAAUCAUUGAUAGAUGGUUCCUUGGUUGAUUCAAUCUUCUCUAAUUCAAUAUGUUGAUAGAUGAUCAUUUGAUCAUAUUUUUGACACUUUGAGUUAGUGAUAUGUGAUCUCUUGGUGUAACAUAUGUUUGAGUCUUUUGACUUGUUGAUAGAUGAUCCCAAUGCGAUGACUUGAAUUUGCCUUCUAGCAUCUAACACCUAAGAUCUAACUUCUAAACCUCUAACACUUUACAUUCUCGCAGUUUAUAUUCUUGCAAUUUACUUUUAUGUCUUAUUAUUCAUUAUCCCACUUCAUGCAUUAUUCAUCUUGCCUUGCUUAUCUUAUGCUCCUUAUCUUGUGUUUGAUUUGCUUGAAAAUCUCAAUGGAUAAAACCAUGAUAAAAUGGAUAGAGUUUAUCCUUAAGACCCAUGCUUGACUUGGAGUGAUGUUAAAGACUUUGGAAUUUGGACUUAGGGCUUAAACCUAUGCUUAAUUUGGAGUGAACUUGGACUCAAUAACCUCUUGAUCACUUACACCUUGUUCACCUGUUGUACUUUGGAACUCGUGAGCUUGUCAUCUUGUUUUUUGUUCACUGCCUUAUACCUCUGCUUAUCACAUUCAUUUGUUUAAGUUAUCACACAUUAGCACACACAUGGCUUACUCUUGGGCUACCUAAUGAUGGGACCUAAGCUUAGUACACUUUUGCACCCACAUGGAUUACUCUUGGGCUACCUAAUAAUGAGACCCUAGACUAGUAUUUGUAUAAUCAUGCAUUGUGUUUUAUCCAUCUCUGUUCCUUUUAUUUAACAUGAUCAAAUUCCAUUUGAUCAACUAGAUCCUUUGACUUUGUAAACAUUCCCUUUGUCUUUGUCAAGCGACCAUAAGUAUCUUGGUCACUUGAUGUGACUUGUCUCUGUUACUUAGGAGCUCAAGCUUCCCAACAAGUAUAAGACCUCAAGCUCAAGUCAAGGCAUCAACCAUCGGCUUCAUCCCCACAGAGCAUCUAUGAGAACCUGUUUCAACAACUUGUCAUACAUUGACAAGGAUUGCAUGUCACGAGCCUUAAGCAAUGGAGAAAGGGAGCAUCCUAUCCUCAUUCUGAAUAUUUUUGGUACUAGAAGAAUGACAUAGUUGCUCAUAGUAUUCACCUAUAUUCAUAGACUUUAGUGCAAUUCGAGUGAAUUCACAGUCAAGUCUGUAGCUAGCCAUAUGGAUCACCAUCUCAAGUUCCUAUUGGUUUAAACACCAUAAUUUGCUUUCCUUUUUUUUGGGUUAAUCACCUUCAUGGUCCACACCCGUUUCUUGGUUUUGACAUCACCUUUUAUCUUUCUGUUCUUGGUUAUAACACCACAAUUUGGGUUAAUCACCUUCGUUGUUCACACCCCUUUCUUGGUUUUGACACCACGUUUUAUCUAUCUGUUCUUGGUUAUGACACCAUAAUUUGGGUUAAUCACCUUCAUGAUUCACACCAUUUUCUUGGUUUUGACACCAUAUUUUAUCUUUCUCUUCUUGGUUAUGACACCACAUUUUAGGUUAAUCACCUUCAUGGUUCACACCUCUUUCUUGGUUUUGACACCACUUUUAUCUUUCUGUUCUUGGUUAUGACACCACAAUUUGGGAUAAUCAUCUUCAUGGUUCACACCCCUUUCUUAGUUUUCACACCACUUUUAUCUUUCUGUUCUUGAUUAUGACACCAUAAUUUGGGUUAAUCACCUUCAUGGUUCACACCCCUUUCUUGGUUUUAACACCAUCUUUUAUCUUUCUGUUCUUGGUUAUGACACCACAAUUUGGGUUAAUCACCUUCAUGGUUAACACCCCUUUAUCUACUUCUUUUUUUGCCUUGGUUUAAACAACGCUUUAGUCAGUUUUUAGCCUUUUUCGGUUUAAACACCACCCGAUCUAUCUUUCUUUCAGUCUUAGUCCUCUGAAGUACGGAGCUCUGACUGCCUCAUUGCACUAUGAGGAUACAUAGGCACUAUGAUGCAAAUCCUUGGCAAUCACUUUUCUUGCUUUCCUCCAUUUCUUUAUCUGGUUCCACGAACUACGAGGCUCUGACUUUCUCAUUGCACUAUGAGAAUAUGUAGGUAUGAAGGCCCAAAUCCUCCUCGAGCACUCUUUUUCUAACCCAUUUUCUGUUUUGCAGGUAUAGAAGAUAGUAACAUCCAUUCAAGCAAGAGCAAUCAAAACGAUUCCCGUUGAGUACAACAGAUGUGAGGGAUGCUAAUACCUUCCCCUUGCAUAACCGACUUCCUUACCCGUUUCUCUUUUCCCUUGGGUUUUAAAGAUAUUUUCCCUUCCCCCUCUUGGGAUAAAUAAAGUUCAAUGGCAACUCUUGUAGCGGUAAAUUCAUGAUUAUCAAGCUAUGGAUAAGCAAGACAUCAAAUAACAAGAGUCGCCACCGUGUUUUUAUUGUUUACAAGGGAAAAGGGAAAAGUACGAACAAAACCCAAAAGUAAGAAGUUUUCAAAUCAAAACUAAUAAAAUGUCAGAGAUUACAGGUAAGGGGAUUGGUUACACAGAGGGAAGGUGUUAGCACCCAAAGUGUCCACCAAAAGUAAGAAGUUUUCAAAUCAAAACUAAUAAAAUGUCAGAGAUUACAGGUAAGGGGAUUGGUUACACAGAGGGAAGGUGUUAGCACCCAAAGUGUCCUAGGUACUCCUAGGGAGCCCUUUUUUUGUGUGCAUAUGUAUUUUAUACAAAAAUGAUGUUUACAAACAAAUAAAAUGGGGGGAUGAGAAAAUAAUUCAUUAAUUAUAUUUUUGUGUUUGACAAGACCUUCGGACUUGUGCCUACGUACCAACAUAAAAAUGAGAGAUCAAAACCUCGUAGUUCGUGAUACAAAUUUCAAAGUGGGUGCAUUGCUUUUAACAAAAAAUAAGUUUGAAAGGCACGAAGGCCUAAAAAUGGUUUGAAUGAGUUAUUUCUUUUUAGCCUUUUGAAAGUUUAAGUAAGGUAUAAUUAAGUCUAUUUACAAGUUUGAUUAAGAAAAGAAGUUUGAAAAUGGAAUGGCAUAAGGCCAAAGUUUCUAGUUUGCAAAGUGGUCAAAGUUUAGAACAAAACUAGUUCAAGCAAAGAAGAAUUUUUAAAAUGGGGGAGAGGUUUUUAAAUUAAAGAAGUGGGUAGGAGAUGAAGAGACUAAUCCUAAGCACAAAGUUAAAAGUUAAGAGUUGAAAAGAUCUGACCGAUGGGUAGCAAUCCAAUAGACAAGAAUGUCUUAUAGAAACCCCAAAUUCCUUUGGAUAUUAGAAUCAAGCAACACACAAUGCAUACAAUAUUAUCUUGAAGAGCAGGGCAUCAAAUAAAGAUAGCCCCAUCCAAGCCUUAGCCACUCCAUGAUGUCUUCUCAAAUUUGCCCAUGUAGCAGAUGGAUUCCACAAGUCACAGGUUCAAAAUAAAAGCUUCACAAUGAUCAUGUUGCAGAUGAACUCAAAGGGAUCUUCAAUGAUGUAUCAGAUGGAGUUUCAAAUUGCAAGCAUUGGGUUUCACAACAGUUGGCAUUGGCCAAGUCCUUUAGCAUAGGAAUGUUGCCUAAAUUCUAAGUCCAAUUGUUCAAGAUCAAACCAACAGUCCACACAAUAGUCUUUUUGAGUUUUUUGUUUCUUAUUAUGUACAUUAAUGGUCAAAGACCAUACAAAAAAAAUACACAAACAAGAUAUAUCACACAAUAUGGUCCAAAUGGACAAAGUGAAAAUGGCACUAACAUAAACAAUCAGAAUGGUAUGAAUAAUGGCAAAUGAAUAUAACUUUAAAAAUUAAAGUGCAUUAAAAUAAAGGACUUGAAAUUAAAUGUUAAUUGUUAAUGAGUUAGAAGUUAGUAUUGUUUUGCUUUUGCUUUUUGUUUUAAGUCAUUCUUUGGAGAACACUCAACCCACUUAUCACAAGCAUGGAUCCUAGCCAAUACAUCUUCCAAAAGAAGGAAAAAAGGCCAAGUUUCCAUACAAUAUCAUGAAAGAGGGGAGACUUACAAUCUCACUAACUAGAAUGCUAUGCCUUUUGUGUCAAAAAUUUAGCACUAUGUUAAGCAAUCGUAAUUGGACUUAUGUAGAAGUCACAGACUCCAUUUGAAGGUCGGCAAUAAAAUUUUGGUGUUAAUGAAUGUUAAAGAAAAAGAUAUAUGGACUAUGCUCAUGAAACAUACCACACACAAAAAGAAUAUGCAAAAGAGGUGGCCUAAUCUCAUCCAUACUCAUGUUGAUUUGCAAUCAAUUAGCCUUAGGAUUUAGAGACAUCAUAGGCCAAAUGAAAUGGAUAUAUAAAGAAGGGGAAUUAGAUGAAAGGGGGGGAGGGGGGGGGGGGGGGGGGGGGGGGGGGAGGGGGGGAGGGGGGGGGGGGGGGGGGGGGGGGUGGGGGGGGGGGGGGGGGAUGAAUCAUAACUCAAAUUGAUCAAAGGAGGACUUUUACCAAAUUAAUAUUAUUCAUUCAUUUUGGGAGAUGGAAUGUACAUUCCAUCAAUCCCAUAAAUCCAAUGAUAUUAACCUAGCAAAGUCAAAUCAACCUUGACCAAGACCCGACAACACAAGUCAAACUUACACAAACCAUCACAAGAGGUCAACACAAUUAUUUGACAUUUAUUCAAUUUAAAAAUACUAAAAUAAUCCAUUUAAAUUAAAUAUGGUUUAUCAAAUUCCUAAAACCUCAUCAAAACACCAAAGAAAUGACCAUGAGAUUUAUCAUAGGUCAAACAAGGUCAAAGUAUUUUUAAAAGUAUUUUUAAACAAUUAAAAAUAAUCAUAAAAUCAAUUAAAUCAUGAAAAAUAUUAAUAAUGAUCCAAAAAAUAAUUUUAAUUCAAAAUAAGAAAGAGGAAGUUAUUUGAAUUUUUUUUGGUGAAACUCUCAUAUUUUUUGGAUCAAUAUUAAAAUUAAUAUGAAUUAAUAAAAAUCAAAUGAAUUAAAACAAAAAUCAGAAAAUCAAAAAAACGUGAGCCACUUGAUCUCCCUCAUUAGUUGAGGUGGCAGCUCAAGUGGAUCAGCGCGCGCGUUCCAUGGUGGAACCUAGUCAGCGCGCCACACGCGUGGUAAUCAAAACCAACGCCUAAGAUUAAAACAUUUCAAAUGGAUCCUGUGGUCUGGAGACGUGCCAACACACCGCCGGAGCCAGAACUCCGGUUUUCUUCUCCGGUGGACCUCACCGGACUGAUCCACCCUCAACCAUCACCAAAAUAAAAAAGAAGGACAUGAUCUGAAAGAAAAAUGGUGUAGAGCACGAAUCUGACCUCAAUUUCAACUAACUCCAAAUAUAUAAAAAGAUAUGAGCAGUUGAAUUUUGAGGAAUGACAACUGAGUUGCUUCGAUUUAACCUCAAAGUAACUCAAUCUUCUUGCCUACAUUGGUAGGACUUCAGACAACCAAAGAUCUAAGAGAAUUGAUGAGAAUUAAGUGAGAAUCGAAGAGGUAAAGUUUUCUGAAAUUUACCUUCAAUGCUGUGCAGAAAUGGAUCUUGCUUGCUUCAACCUUGAUCUGAUCACACUUGAGAAGCUUGCAAGAGAGGUUUGACAAUGGUACAAAGCUUUGGAUCCUGGAGUUUCUGAAUCUCCAAAUAGUGAGAUUCAAACUCAAUUUUCAAGUUGAAAAUUCUCAGGUGUUCCUUUGAAUGGGGAGGGUUUUAAUUGGGGGGCAAAGAUGGCGCGCAAGGUGUGUUUGAAUUGAGCUCCAAAGGCCUGUAUUUAUAGAAAUUGUGACUGAUAUUUGCACACUUGAGAAAUUGCUAAAUUUGGACAUUUCAUGCACAAGCUUGCAUGGGCGUGUACAUGCCCAUGAAUCAAUCCAAUUUGAUCCAUAUUGUCGCAUCCGCGAAAAAACAACUUGCGGGAAAAAAAAAACAAACAGAGCCGCCACUGUGCGUUAUUUAUCCCAAAAGAGGGAAAGGAAACGCUCGAAGUAAACCUGGAAAGGAAUGGUCUUACGACCGGAGAUUUCAAGGAUCGGGAGUUGGUUACGCAAGGGGAAGGUAUUAGCACCCCUCACGUCCGUCGUACUCGACAGGAUCCACGCUCAAAAAGAAUAGAAUAAGGUUGCUGAAAAUUUGCUCAAGAACUGCACACACACUGGAAUGAAACAUAGGCGAAAGAAGACUGAAGCGGACUCGACAGGAUGUCGCAUCCUGGGCCUACGUAGUUUGUCAUAAACAAACAUCAGAGUCAACGUAGUUCGGGGAAAUGGGGAACGGGCUCGCUAGGAUAUCGCAUCCUAUGCCUACGUAUCUCAUCUGGAAUGAGAAUCAGAGCUACCGUAGUUCGGCUAACACACGCCGAAACAAAACACACGCACAGACGCUGAGACGUCAAAGCAAUCUGGAAUGAGAAUCAGAGCUACCGUAGUUCGGCUAACACACGCCGAAACAAAACACACGCACAGACGCUGAGACGUCAAAGCAAACACGCAAAUGGAAACAGACUGCCAAUGGCUGGUCUUACAUCUGACUCCAAACAACAAAACAAACAGGAAACCGAAUGCCAAUCGCUGGACUUACAUCAUACUCCGAACAAACCACAAAUAAACGCACACAGGAAACCGAAUGCCAAUCGCUGGACUUACAUCAGACUCCAAGCAAAACAAACAAACGGGAAACCGAAUGCCAAUCGCUGGACUUACAUCAGACUCCACACACACACAAGAGGUUAUCAAACAGACAGGCUAAUAGGGAGUCUGGAACUCGAGCCUAAUAACUGUCAAGCAAACGCACACACAAAAGAAAAAGGGUGCCCGGAGAGAUCUCGCACGAUCUCCUGCCUACGUACCUCAUCUGGUAUGAGGAUCAGGGCAACGUAGUUCCCCUUAACAGGGGAGAAACUUCUAUCCUAACCAGAGACUGGGAAAUGACAAACUAAAAGGGAGACUGACUCGAGCCUAAUGUUAUCAUGCAAUCCACAAUGGUCCUAGGUUGAGGUAUCUAAGCAAAUCCUAACUCGCACAGCAGCAAGUUGAAACAGCAAAUAAACAGAAAACAAGCAUUCACAGAAGAGCAAGCACACACACUAUAUGCAAACAAGUGUCUCAUACAAGGCUAGGCUGUAGAAACAAGCCAACUGGAAUGGGUGUUUAGCUCUUACCCUAACAUUGAGAGUUAGGGUGAAGCAGAUGAAAUGGGAAGUGAGGGUAAGACCUCACAGCUCUUAUCCCUGGCCUGGGAGAGCUUGAAUCAAAUAGAAAGUGUGGGAGUUCAGAAUGAAGGAACUCUUCUUCACAAAAUGACUGACUCUAUGGACAAGAUUUUGGGUUUUUAUUCAAAGUGCAUCAACACAUGGUGUGAGCAGGAUGAAUGACUCAACUGAAUAGCAGGGGAUGGAUUGCACAUCCCUUUUAUCUGCCAAUGCCUCUUCACUUAAGAGGUCUUUGAAUGUACAAGGCACAAAAUUAAACAACCACAAAUAUUGCCUCUUAAGGAGGGCUUCAGACAGGUGCCUGCCAAAGUAACAUGACAGGUCUUCCAGACUACAUGGAGUUUAGGGAUUUACCUAAGUGGUAUGCUAACCACAAGCAAAGCAAAGCAAAGUUCAAAUGAACUUAAAGCAACUUAGGUACCUGCGGAAACAACUAAAUCAAUCAGUACAGAAUUCAGACAAUCAGACAACAGUUAAUAUCAAACAGACAAUCCCAAUAUGCACAAUGUAUAAGCCACAAGGCAAACACUUAAGUGACUUAUCAUCAAAGCCUACAAAACAAACAAAUGUUAGCCAACCACAACAAAUGACCAAGCUCAAAUGAAGGAGCAACAUCAAUCAUGGUGAUGCAUACUUGAACCUGAAAUUCACAACUCAAAUGUAAGUCCAAACCACUAGGUCAAAGCCUAGGGUCAAAAGUGGAUCAAAAAAACCAAAACAGAACUUGAUAUUCAACACAAAGCAUGAAAAAUUCAUGAGUAUUCCAAACAUCCAAAACAUCCAUCAUACAAAAAAUCAGGAGCAUCAAAGAUCAAUUGAUAUGGAAAUUAAAUUGAACAAGUUGAUCAUCCCAUUGUGUGACACAAAUUGUCACACUUAAAGUACAUGUGCCAAAAACAGUGAAGAUAAUAGCAAAAAAUGCCAAAUAAAAUCACAUAAACCCCUCAUCAUGUCAAGAGUAACCAUGCAAAAUUUCAAGGCAUUUGGAUCAUGUAUGAGCAUUUUAUGAUAGAAAGAAUGGAGUAAUGUCACAAAUGCACCUUGAUCAAGUAACAAUUCAUCAGCAAAAUCCAUAAAUGAUAAAAUCAAAGAAAAACACAUGAUAAAAUACUAGACAUUUCAAGGAUCAUGUGGAAAAAAACCUGGCUUCAUUUGGAUCAUUAUUCCAUAAUUAUGAUUUUUGGAAGUUCAUGUAUGAAAUGAAACAAAAAUUUAAGUAAUAAUAAAAAUAUAAAAAAUGAAAUAAAGAAAUACCAAACGCGUCCCAAAACGACGUCGUUUUGGAUUAAUGGAAAAGAAAUAAAAAAAAGAUGCAGAAACGCUGGAGCCUGGAAUCGAAGGGAGGACCUUGGAUCAAACGCGUCCUGGGCGCGUUCUUCAUGCUAGAACCCUAGCGAACCAGAGAUGAAGAUCUUCAUCUUCCUCAUGAAGAUGAAGAUAAACAAGAUGAAGUUCAUCAAAUUUUUUCCAGAAUUUCCAGAAUUUCUCAGAUUUUUACAAAUUAUAUAUCGUUGGAAAGCUCUUUCAAUGUAGAUUUCAAAUAUCAUAUUAUCUAAGCCUAAAUCUCCAUGGAUUUUCUGAAUCGAAGCAAAGAAGUUUCUAGAUCUAAACUUGAAAUCAUCAUAUCUCACUCAAUUUUCAUCCAAACUCCACAAAAUUUAUAUCAGAAUUCUCACCACAACAAGAUCUACAAGAUUAUGUACAUAAAACAGAGAAUUAAGGUGAUCGAAAAUGUGACCUCUUGAAGGUCAGUUCUUGAAUUCUGUAGAUUCCAGGCCAGACAAGCAUGCAAAUCCACUCCAAAUCACUUGUUAUGAAGUUUGAUGAUGAAAUUGAGGCUUGGAAACGUGUAGAUCUAGCUCAAUUUGCAUUUGCCAUUUUUGAGUUCUUGAACUUCACAUGCACAACAAAAAAUGCCAAAUAAAAUCACAUAAACCCCUCAUCAUGUCAAGAGUAACCAUGCAAAAUUUCAAGGCAUUUGGAUCAUGUAUGAGCAUUUUAUGAUAGAAAGAAUGAGAGUAAUGUCACAAAUGCACCUUGAUCAAGUAACAAUUCAUCAGUCAAAAUCCAUAAAUGUAAAAUCAAGAAAAACACAUGAUAAAAUACUAGACAUUUCAAGAUCAUGUGGAAAAAAACCUGGCUUCAUUUGGAUCAUUAUUCCAUUAAUUAUGAUUUUGGAAGUUCAUGUAUGAAAUGAAACAAAAAUUAAGUAAUAUAAAAAAAUAAAAAAUGAAAUAAAGAAAUACCAAACGCGUCCCAAAACGACGUCGUUUUGGAUUAAUGGAAAAGAAAUAAAAAAAAGAUGCAGAAACGCUGGAGCCUGGAAUCGAAGGGAGGACCUUGGAUCAAACGCGUCCUGGGCGCGUUCUUCAUGCUAGAACCCUAGCGAACCAGAGAUGAAGAUCUUCAUCUUCCUCAUGAAGAUGAAGAUAAACAAGAUGAAGUUCAUCAAAUUUUUUCCAGAAUUUCCAGAAUUUCUCAGAUUUUUACAAAUUAUAUAUCGUUGGAAAGCUCUUUCAAUGUAGAUUUCAAAUAUCAUAUUAUCUAAGCCUAAAUCUCCAUGGAUUUUCUGAAUCGAAGCAAAGAAGUUUCUAGAUCUAAACUUGAAAUCAUCAUAUCUCACUCAAUUUUCAUCCAAACUCCACAAAAAUUUAUAUCAGAAUUCUCACCACAACAAGAUCUACAAGAUUAUGUACAUAAAAAGAGAAUUAAGGUGAUCGAAAAUGUGACCUCUUGAAGGUCAGUUCUUGAAUUCUGUAGAUUCCAGGCCAGACAAGCAUGCAAAUCCACUCCAAAUCACUUGUUAUGAAGUUUGAUGAUGAAAUUGAGGCUUGGAAACGUGUAGAUCUAGCUCAAUUUGCAUUUGCCAUUUUUGAGUUCUUGAACUUCACAUGCACAAUUCUGGUCCAAACUUGAUGAUCCAAGGCUUGAUGUCUGCUAAAUCAACACUAAAGAACCAGAAUAUGGAAGAAGAUUCAAGGCUUAUGUGAGAAAAAUUUGAAUAAGAUUGGAGAAAAAUUUUGGAGGAGAUGAAAACUAGAUCUAGAAAUGGUGAAUUAUGAUUAACCUCUCCAAAUUCUGUUACAAUUAUGUAUAUAUACCAUGUGCUAAUCCUAUUUUAAUUAAAAUUAAGCAAAAGUUAAUUAGGAAUUAGCAAAAUAAGGGUGCAUGGCAAAAAUUGAAAAUUUGCAUGGUGCAUGUAGUAAAUGGACGUGAACAGUGCCAUGUGCUUGAUCAAAGUCACUCAAAAUCAUUUUUUAAACACAUUGGCAAUGGCAAAAAGUUCUCAUGAUGCACCAUUUUAAAUUUAGUUUUCCCUCCAAAAUCUUCAUGAAUAAACAAGUGAUCAUAUGUUCAAAUUUCAUGCAAUGUAAUGGAUGCUUUGAAACUACAUGUCAUGAGAAGCAUUUUGCAAAAAGAACCACCAAAUUUGGAGUUAUGAAUCAAAAGUUAUGGCCUUUUGAAGUUCCAUGCAUCCUUGCAAUGAUUUUAUCAUAUCUCUCAACCAUUCAUCAUAAAUUCAAGAUCUUGGACUUUUUGGAAAUGGGAGAAGAGAUCUUCAACUUUCAUGUUGGACAAAAUUUCAUUUGAAGCUUUUUUGAUGAUGCAAGAUCAAGUUGAAUUUGAAUCAAAAACUUCCAUUUUGGGAAACUUUCAAUUUANUUCCAUUUUGGGAAACUUUCAAUUAUAGGUCACUUUCCAUUUUUGGAAACUUUUGACUUGACCUCAAAUUCUUCAAGAUAUGCAUUUGACAUGAUUAAUAAGCCCCCUUUGAACAUGAAUGAGAUGUUGAAACUCAUUUCUCCACCUCCUAGUCCUCAGUUGACUUUCUGUUGACUUUCUGGUUGACAGAUGACUUAGAAGUGCUUUGAUCAGCCUGAGCCUCAACCACUUGAGGAACUGGCUCCAAAAUGAAACCCUAGCCCUAAUAAGCUCUUCAAAAUAAUCAUAUGAUCUCCAUCCAAGAAAUAAACCCCAUCUCCUUGAGAAACCCUGACUGAUAGAAUGCAACUGAUUAGGGUUGACCAGAGGUCAAAACCCUAAUCCCAAGGAAUCUGAGCCUGAAUAAUGACACCUUUGAUAAGGACACAACCAUGAUGAUGAUGAUGUACCCUUGAAACCAAGAUAAUUCUCAACCUCCUUGAAGGACCAAGAAAACCCUAAUUGAAGCAUAAACCCUCAGAUGGCUAGUGAUCAAUCCAUGAGACCCUCAGGCUUGAACCUCUUAACCUCUCUAUCUUCUGAGAAAGACUUUUAGAGGAUGACUUGUUUAUUUAUCACAUGAUAUGCAAUAUGCAAAUGCCUAAUGUCAUACAAAAUGAAAUGCAAUAUGCUAAGCUAGUCCCAAGAAGAGGAGGGCAAAUUUUGAGGUGUUACACAUAUACAAUCAUUCUGAAGUUCAAAUGAGGCUUGGAUGUCAAGGCAAUGUGAAAUGUGAUUUUUGGCAUUUGAUUUCUUCCAAUCAUGCAUACCUGUUAAAGCCACGUGCAGCCCUAGAAAUCCUUAUCCAAAAUGCAUGAACUUAGGUUCUUUCGAAAGCUUAGAUCAAGGGGAACAACUUUGAUGUUGGACACUUGUUCAUUUGAAACUUGGAUCAUGGUGAACUUUGAGGUGGAAGUUUGGAAAUUUCAACAUGUUGAAAUUUUUUCUAAGUGUCAAGCCAUAUAUCUCAAUAUUCCACCUUGCUUAACUUUUUAUGUGAGCUUCAAAUGAGAAAAGUGCCUUCAUCAAAGUUGUAUAUAUUUCAAAUAAAUUCAAGAUGGUCACCAAUUUCAUGUCAUUUGGAUUUAUAAUGAUAGAGUUAUGCGUUUUUGAAUUUGAGGAAAAUCACUUGUUCAAUGGUAUAUGUCAAAAAUGACCUAUAAUGUAUCCUCAUAUCACAUGCUCAUAAAAGUUGAAUUAGCUCUUACUCCAAACAUAAAAGUUGAAUUAGACAUCUUGGAUUUGAUUGUGCAACUUGUAAAUCUUUCAUCUAAAAAAAAUUGAGCAAGUUAUGGCCUUGGGAAGUUGAUUUUCAAAUUAGGGUUUAGACAAAAUGACCUAUAAUGUUUCAACAUAGAAAAUGAUUUUCCAAGCUAAAAUAGCUCUAGGUCUCAACAUGAAAGUUGUUUGUAAUGUCAUUUAGAGUAAAGUUUUUCUUGGAAUCAUUUUCAUAUGGUGAAAAUUGUAGGAGAUAGGGUCUAGGAAGACCCAGUUUUGAUCAGAUGAAUUCAUCUGGCCAACCACCAUCAACCAACUUGCUAACCUUCAAUUCUCUUGGCCUUUUAGGCUCAUGGUAUAUCAUAUACGCAUAAGAUGAUGAAUUUUGAAGUGUCCCUUGAGAAAUUUGAUCAAUUGGUGAGAUAACUUGUUGGAGAAGUUACUCAAGAUACCCAGUCAAACUAGGGUUUCCAAGGCAAAUCACCUCAAAACUCUUGAAGAAUACUUGAUCAAUAUAACAUGUAGAGAUCAUUGGGACUCAUAUAUGAUGCUUUGAGAUAUUGUGAAUCAGUCCUUGAUUGUGCUUUUAGCCAUGAGGGUCUCAAACCCUAGGUGUGGACUUGAUAGAUCAAUGAGGAUCAUGCCCUACCUACAAAAAGUUAGGCAAAUACAAAGACAUAUUUUUGGUAUUUUGGUUAGUGAAAUACCCUAGGUGUGGACUUGAUAGAUCAAUGAGGAUCAUGCCCUACCUACAAAAAGUUAGGCAAAUACAAAGACAUAUUUUUGGUAUUUUGGUUAGUGAAAUGAUAAAAUACAAGUAUGAUACAAUCACACAGUGCUUGGUGAUCUCUCCCAAAACAAACCCAAUGAGAGAGGGGUAAGGAAGAUGCCAAGAUAUGAUCCCAAUGUUAAUGCAUAUGAUGAAAUUGCAUGAGGGAUCUUGGGGUCAAAAUUGGGGUCUUACAACUCUGUUGUAUCUUCGAGCAUGUAAUGUGUUUGGGUAUAUUUCUGCUAGCCUCAUUGUUGAGUACAUUGCAUCAAUUGUUUACAUAUGUAUUGCAUGAUUAUGUUGAUAUUGGUGAUUCAAAUACUUUGGUGGUAUACGCGAAUGAAUUAUGUUGAAUAAUUGUUGAUGUUUGCUUAUGCCACCCUUGCAUACUUUUGCACCAUUAUAUAUUCCGAGUGUAUUCUCACCCCUUUGUUGUUUGUAUGGUUAUAUGCUACUUCUUGGGGUACAAACGAGCAGGCAAAUGAGUAGCUACUUAGAAGUUGAAGGAUGUCGUCAAGACUAUUCUUCUUUUUCUUGUUUUAUAUGAUACUUAGAUUCUGUUGCUAUGAUCUUUAACAUUGAGCGAACACAUGUUUAUUUAUUUAUUUCUUAUUAUUCUAACGUUGUUGAUGCGUGUAUUAGACUUGUAACUCAUUAUGUUAUACAUUGUUGAGUUACUUUAUUUAAAUUACUUUCCACUGCGAUGAGCCUAUGUAAAGUCGAGUAUGUGAUGAUCAGGGACAGAGCCACUUGUGGUGGUAAGGGGGCAUGUGUCCCCACUAUAUUUUCAAAAGCAAUUUAAUAUCAUUAUAUAUUUAUAUGACAAUUGAUAAAAAAAUAUUUGUUUUAAAUAUAAUAACCUAUAAAAUAAAUAAAAGAGUAUUUUGUUAUGAAUUUAUAAUUUAAAAUUAUAUGUAAAAUUACAUGUAUAUAGGAAAAAAUACACCAAAGGUUUUUUAAAUUAUUUUUGUGUAAUAAAUUGAUCUUUUAAGUUUUGGUGUGUAACAACUCGGUCUUUAAGUUACCAAACGUGUGCAUCGUUGUUUGUUUUAACAAUGUGAAUGUGCAAAUUGUGGAUGUAAUUAUUUUGAGUGAUAUGAAAAUGAUGAAAUUCAACCAGAAAUACAAUAAUUACAAAUUUCUAAAUGUUCUAAACAUGAAGAAAAAAAAUUUAAAAUCAAUCUAAAAGAUCAAGUUGUUAUAUAAAAAAAAACUUAAAUGACCAAUCUAUUACACAAAAAUAAUUUAGAAGGACCUUGGUGUAAAUAUAUGAAUAAUUGUUUAGGGUUCCAUUUGUGAAUUAUUUAUUUUAAAAGUUAAUUUAAAAUUUAAAAUGUGUUCAGUUAAAAUAUAGUUAAAUUAAUUUUCUAUUUAAUUUCAAAAUAAUUUUUUCUAAAAGUUUUUUCAAAAAUUGACUUUAUAUCUUUUUAUUUUAAUACUAAGACAUCAUUAUAAAAAGUUAGAAUCAACUAUUCAUAUCAUCGUCAAUUACUUAUAUAUAAAAAUAGAUAGAUAAACGUUGUUGAUAAUAAAAUAAAAAAGAUUACAUAAAUAAAAAAUUUAGACUUUAUUAAAUACUUUUUAAAGAUAAAUUUGAUAAAAAUAAUAUUAUAUAUAUUUAUGUUUCUAAGUUCUAUUCGUGGUAGAUAUAUUAUGCUAUAAAUUCACAAAUUAAUAUAUUACUCCCACAAUAUAAAUUUUGUGAUGACAUAUGUUUAAGUAUGACAUGUUUUAUCUAACCCGUAUUAAAAAAUAGGUUUAUGUCGUGCUUGCGUGACACCCUAUACGUAUAUCUAUUUUAUUUUCCUAUUAUUACAUGUUGGGGUUGUUAGGGUGUUACACCUCCCAUAUCAAUCCAACGGUUGACCGUAUUCCACGUCGUUCCACAUGCUUGCAGUUUUCGGUCAUUCCCUUAUUUAAAGAGGAAAACAUAUCACUUCACAUGUAUUCAAAUUAUUUUCCAUUUUAAACUUCACUUUUCACUUUUUUUAAUAGAUAGUUGAAGUUCUAACUUUGUCAAUCUCCUCUCCACCCCAUCGAAAACCACGAACCACCGUUACAGAGUGUGAACUCAAUCUUUUCAAUUAAUUCUAGUUCCAACACAAACUUUUUCAUUAAUAUAUAAUAGAAGGAUAACAAUAAAUUGUUGAAUAUUUUUUAAUCAAGUCGUGAUAAUUGCUUAGUAGGCUAAGUUUUCUCAUCUCUUUUAUUCUAGGCUAAGAUUAUGGAUCUCAUUAAUGUUGGAAAUCACCAAAAUCUAUGGAGAAUUUCAAUCAAUCUUGAUGAACAAGAUUUUUAUCACCCACACAAUAGCAAUGAAAAGAGAAGAACAAUGGAGAAAGAAAUAAAGUAAAAAACAAUGAAGGAGAAGAAGAAUUAAAUUCUGCAGAGUUUCUCUCUGUCCACAACCUGUGAAAAACUUAUUCACUUUGCAACUGCAAAAUACUGUGAAUACAAUGUUAUGAAUACUCUAUCCACUUCAUUACAAAAAUAAGGGUUACUCUCUCUAUUUAUAGAUUUAGGUUAACUUGGACCUCAAGCCAAAUCCUAAAACUAUAAAAGCCCAAAAUAGCUAAAACUACAAAAAUAGGCCUAAGUCAAAAUCCUGUGUGAAGCAACAUGCUUCGACACAUCGACACACUAACACAACUCAACACACUAGGUGGUUUGUCACUUCCUUGAUUUUGUCGAGCAACCUGCUUCGACACAAGGAAUUACAAUUCAACACACCACCCAAUUCAUUGUGUCUAAUCUAUCUACAUUUAUCAUAGCUCUUAGUCUUCUGAACACUUCGACCUGCACUCCCUUUGACAUGAUGUCUGCAAUGUUUCACAUUCAUCUCAGUUCUGUAGUGUUUCACAUUCAUCUUCCCAUCUGCUACCCGCUCUCGAAGAUAAUAGAACCUCAUUUCAAAUGUGCUUGCUUCGACCAUGUGCUAUCAUAUUCUUCGCCAAAUUGAUAGCUGAAAUGCUAUCGAUCUUUAUGGUAAUUUCUCCAUGAAUCUUCGCUGUUAUCUCUUCGACCAGAUUCACCAUCCACGUUACUUGACAUGCACAAAGAGAAGAAAAUAUGUAUUCUUCUUCGCACGAUGAUAAUGCCACUACUGGCUCCUUUCUCGAACUCCAAGCAACUGGUGCACCACCUAGCAUAAACACAUAGCCAGUUGUAGAUUUUCGAUCCUCAGCAUCACUACACAAACUUGAGUCGGUGUAUCCCACUAAUUUGCAUUCUUUUCCUUCAUCAGCUGCAGGAAACAAAAUGCCAUAGUCGAGAGUUCCUUUCAGAUACCUUAGUCAGGCAUUGUGUGACAAAGGUAUCGAAGUGACCCAAUAAGUCUUCUAUAUUGGGUUGGGUCGACAUCAUCUUCAUCUGAAUCUUUCGACAGUUGCAAUCUGGGCUCAGAUGGAGUUGAAGUUGGGUUGCAAUCUUGCAUCUCAAAUAUCUUGGGUACUUUUCAUGCAUACCUUCUUUGAUGCAUCAUCAAACCUUUAUCACUCUUGUAGAGUUCGAUGUCAAGGAAGUAUGAAAUGCCACCCAAAUCUGACAUUUUGAAUUCCUUGUCGAGAUCACCUUUGAAGUCUUCGAUCUCCUUCUUGCAGCUACCUAUUAUCAACAGGUCAUCGACAUAGAGACAUAGUAUAAACAAUUCACUCUUGCUUUUUCUUACAUGUACUCCAUGUUCAUAUUUGCACUUCACAAAUUCCUUCUUCCUUAGAAAGCCAUUUAUCUUCUUAUUCCAAGCUCUUGGAGCUUGUUUAAGUCCGUACAGGGCUUUAUGCAGCCUGCACACCUUUCUUUCUUCGCCUUAUUUCACAAACUCAACUGGUUGUGCAACAUAAACUUCUUCUUCUAAGAGGCCAUUCAGGAAUGCACAUUUCACAUCCAUCUAACACAUCUUCCAAUUGUUCAUGUUUGCUAGACCAACAACCAACCUGAUUAUUUCGAUCCUAGCAACAGGUGCAAAAACUUCAUCGAAGUCGAUUCCUUCUUUCUGAAGGAAUCCUUUCGUCACAAGUCUUCUGUUAUGUCAAGUCACUUCUUCUUUGGUAUUCAACUUCACCUUGUAUACCCACUUCACAUGGAUUGACUUCUUGUCUUAGGGAAAUUCGACAAGUGACCAAGUGUUGUUGACUUCGAUUAACUUCAGUUCUUCGUUCAUUGCUUUCAACCACUUCAAAUCUUUCAAUGCCUCAGCUGCGUUGACUGGUUCGACAUUUGCGUAGAAAGCAUAAUGUACCAGCUCACCUUAUUCAUUGACCACAUCAUCUUAUGUAAUCACACAUUCUUGCAACCUUGCAGCCAUGUGUCUUAUUCUUUGAGGUCUACUUGGGUCUGCUUCACCUUUGACUUCUUUCUGUCGAACUUCUCUUUCGAUUUCACUAGUUGGUUCAUCACAAAAUAUUCUCAUUGAAUCUUUCUUGACAUUAUCAGUCCAAUCCCACUCCUUAAGCUCAUAUAUGAUCACACCCCUGCUAAUCACCACUUGCUUAUUCACUGGGUCAAACAACUUGUAUCCUCCAGUCGAAUGAUAUCCUAUAAGGAUCAUCUGAUUUGACUUGUCAUCAAGUUUUCUUCUCAACUGAUCUGGCACAUGUCUAUGUGCUAUAGAUUCAAACACCCUUAGAUGACUCAAGCUAGGCUUGACACCAAACCAACAUUCUUCUAGCAUGAUUCCUUCUAGCUUCUUCGUUGAACAUCUGCUCAGGAUAUAUGUCGUAGUCGACACAGCUUCUCCCCAUAGUUCUUUGGGUAGAUUCUUGCCCUUCAACAUACUUCUAACCAUAUUCAUGAUGGUUCCAUUCUUCCUUUCUGCGACUCCAUUCUGCUGUGGAGUGUAGGGUGGCACCACCUCAUUCACAAUACCUUCUUUCACACAUAAUGCGUUGAAGUAUUUCGAAACAUAUUCUCCACCAUCAUCAGUCCUCAAAAUUUUGAUCUUUCGACCUCUCUGUCUUUCGACCAUAGAUUUAAACUUGGCAAAUACCUCAAUCACUUCACUUUUCUUCUUGAUUAGGUAAGAUCAUAAUUUCAACUGAAACCAUCUAUGAAUGUAACAAAGUAUUUGUUACCUCCAAUCGAAUCCACCUAGAGAGGACCACAUACAUCAGAGUAUAUGACUUCAAGAAUUGCCUUAGACCUGCUUUAUACAUCCCUUACUGAAGUUGUUCUUAUGCUGCUUCACCUGCACACAUUCUUCACAUGCUUCAUUUGGAAUGUCGACUUCUGGUAAUCCUGAAACCAUAUUUCUUCUCUUGAAAUCUCUGAUGUCUUUGAAAUUGAGAUGACCAAGUCUAUAAUACCAUAUCCAUUCAUCUCCACUAGUUGCUGUUGCAAGGCACUUAUGCUCUACCACAAUUAGUUCAAUCUUAAAGGUUCUAUUAUGAGACAUUGGAGCCUCAAAGAUCAACCUUCCAUUUGAGUCGAGAACUCUCAUCAUCUUGUCUUUGAUCGACACUUUGUAGUUCUUUUCAACUAACUUCCUAAUGCUGAGAAAAUUGCUCUUCAUGCAUGGUAUAUACAACACAUUUGAAAUUACUGACCUCUUGCCAUCUUUUCUCAUAAUCAAAAUAUCACCAACACCUUCAUCUACUAGAGUAUUGUCAUUUGCAAAUUUCACCGUGUUCUUCAUUGAGGGCUUUAUGUUGGCAAACCAAUCUUUCCUUCCAGACAUGUGUGAUGAGCAUCCUGAGUCCAAGUACCACUGGUCCUUGAAUCUCUCUUCAUCUCUUGUUGUAACCAUCAACAACAUCUCUUCUUCUUCAUGUUUCGCCAACUUUGCAUAAGUUUCUUGAUUCUUCUGCCUUUCUAGACAAUCACUAGAAUAAUGACCAUACCUUUGACAAUUGUAACACUGAAUGUGACUUUUGUCUGGCUUUUGACCAACACCUCUUCCUCUACCUGCAACAUCACCUCUUUGGUUGCCUUGGUUCCAGGGUUUUCUCUGAUUCGACCAGUUUCCUUCUUGCUGAUUUCGACUAGUCGAAUUGUUGUAACCUCCUCUUCUUUUGGUGCCAUUCCAGCUUCCCUUGCCUUUCUUUUCUUUUGCUGACCGCUUGUAAAACCAUGUCACUCUUCGACUUUUAUCUGCUUACACCAAUUCUCAUAAUUGUUGUUCUUGAGAAUCAGAAGAUUUGCUGGAAAAUGCCCAUUUGGAUGAUUCGUUGCCAUGAUGAUUUUCUUUCCAUGAAUCGUUUCAACCGGAGCUCUUGAUACCAGAUGUUGAAAAUCCACUAAAAUCUAUGGAGAAUUUCAAUCAAUCUUGAUGAACGAGAUUGUUAUCACCCACACAAUAGCAAUGAAAAGAGAAGAACAAUGGAGAAAGAAAGAAAAUAAAGAACAAUGAAGGAGAAGAAGAAUUAAAUUCUGUAGAGUUUCUCUCUGCCCAUAACCUGUGGAAAAUUUAUUCAUCUUUCAACUGCAAAAUAUUGUGAAUACAAUGUUAUGAAUACUCUAUUCACUUUAUUACAAAAAUAAAAGUUACUCCCUCUAUUUAUAGAUUUAGGUUAACUUGGACUUCAAGACAAAACCCAGAACUAUAAAAGCCCAAUAAAGCUAACACUACUAAAACAAAUCUAAAUCGAAAUCUUGUGUGAAGCAACAUGCUUCGACACACUAACACAACUCAACACAAUAAGUGGUUCAACACUUCCUUGCUUCUCUCGAGCAACCUGUUUCGACACAAGGAAAUACAAUUCAAUAAUUAAAUACGUUUAGAGUUAAAACAAUAGCAUCAAAGUGGGAAGAUCCCGAAAAUGAGAAUGCGGGGGAAAUUCCAAACUCUAAUGGUGAAAAAAGCAACAUGACAACAACCCUUAUGCCUAGCUCACCUUACUAUCUCGUUUCCUCUAAAAAUCUAGGAAUGCCUCUUGUUGUAAUCACUCCCAAUGGUGACAAUUACCAAACAUAGUCGCGAUCCAUGAGAACGGAGUUGCGAUCAAAAGCAAAGUUAGGUUUCAUUGAUGGAACCAUCAAGAGACCAAGACCACAAUCGGAAGAUUGUUUCAACUUGGAGAGAUUCGAUUUGAUGGUUAUGGCAUGGAUGAUUAACUCGACAAAUCCAACUUAACAUGAAAGAAUCUCACAUAGAUCAACACCGUGAGAUAUGUGGCUUGAUCUGGAAGAACCAUUUGCCCAGACCAACGACCCAAUAAUUCAUCAAUUGUGGCAUAUACUCUAUUUGAUGCAGAAAGAAAAUAUAUAUGAUAAAGUUGAAUGAGUUACAACCAUUACCUGGAAUGUUUAUGUCGGUCCUCCAAGGAAUUGAUGAAAUGGUAAGAAGAUCAAAAGCUUCACAUUUUCCUUAGCAACAAUGCGCUGUAGAGAAAGAAAGGAUCAACAAUAAACUAGAUGCAGGAGCAACAUUCUACUCUAGUGGAAGCAAACAUAAGUGGCAAGAUGAAUCCAAUCUAAAGUGUGAUCAUUAUGGUAAAAUUGGUCACUUAAAGUCAAAAUGUUUUGAAAUAGUUGGUUACCCAUCCAACUAGGAUAUGCGCAGAGUGGAACGUGACAAUGAAAAGCAAGAUGGAUAUGUCGCGACUUGCUUGGCAGCUGCUAAUGGAAACCAGAACAUGGAAGGCUUAGAGGAAGCAACAAUUAGUCAUGCGUUACAUAGAAUUCACAUGAAAAAUGGUGCAGUAACACGUGAAGGCAUGACUGGUAAUAACGAGAUAAUACAAUGGGUUCUAGAUAGGGGUGGCAAAACGGGCUCGGCCCGCAGGGAAUGCCCGUUUUGCCCGCACUUUUGUGCGGGGCGGGCCAAGGAUUUAGGCCCUCACCCUCAAAUGUGUCCGAGAAUGCCCGUUUUGCCCGCACUUUUGUGCGGGGCGGGCCAAGGAUUUAGGCCCUCACCCUCAAAUGUGUCCGCCCCGCCCCGCCCCGUUUUUUUCGCGGGCUUUUGCGGGCACAUGUAUUUACAUAUAUUUUUGUAUUUUUAGGCUUAAAGAGUGCAGUGCCCGCGGGCUUUCCUCGCCCCGCCCUCACUUUUUUGCGGGGCGGGUCUAAGUUUUAGGCCCGCAUCCUCAACUAUGACCGCCCCUCCCCGCCCCGUUUUUGUGUGGGCUUUUGCGGGGCGGGCCUAAACGGGGCGGGCAUGCCCGUUUGCCACCCCUAGUUCUAGAUACUAGUGCAUCACACCGCAUGAUCCCCUUAUACUCUCUUCUAAAGGAAGUUAGAAAAUUGAUAAACCUUUUUAUAUCAAGUUUCGACUGAGAAUGCAGUUCUGGUGGAAAUCAAAGGAAAACUCAUAUUUUAUAAUAAUAUUAAGCUAGACAAUGUGUUAUUUAUACCUGAAUUUAGUUGCAACUUGAUCUCUGUGCACAAACUAACACAUGAUCUAGAUUGUACUAUCACAUAUCAUCCAAGUUUUUGGGGGAUUUGAUAUCUAAUGGACUUAUAUAUGAAACUUAAACACCCACACACAAAACAGAGAGAGUAAGAAGAAAUGAAAUUCUCAACUCUAUUUAAUUUCUAAAACCGAUGAUUUUACAAAGCAUAGCUUUUCAUAUAGGCUUUGAAAUACAUAUACUUAAUGGUUAAGUGAGUUAAUAAGAAAAUAUUCUUAGGCGGUGGUGUAACUUGAUCCACUUGGUUUCUUUCUUAAUGUGUAAGCUUAAUCUAGUUUCUAAACUCUUCUAGUAGUACUUAUUUAAUCUAUCAACUUUUCUAAAUACUUUCAUACAAUACUUGAAUUAAUUCUAACAUUGGCUCCCUUAAAUCAAGCUCUCCAAUUUAUCAUUCCAAGCAUCUUCUUCAACUUGUAAACUAGCUUAAACUCUACUGGCUUUGUAAAAAUAUUGGCAAUUUAUUCUUCCAUUGGACAAUAAUCGAUUACCAUUUCUUUCUUAUCUAUCAACUCUCUUAUCUUGUGAAACCGAAUAUCAAUAUGUUUGGACUGCCCAUGAAAAACUAGAUUCUUACUCAGCGCAAUAGCUGAUUUGUUGUCACAAUAUAUCUUUGUGGGAUUAUUCUACUUCUGAUGUAUCACUUCUAAAAUUCUUCUCAUCCAUACUGUUUGAGUAACACAACUGGUUGCUACAACAUAUUUAGCUUUAGAGGUAGAAAACACAAUAAUUGAUUGUUUCUUUGAAGACCAUGGAAUUUCACCCGGGCACAAAUGAAAUGCUUAGCAUGACGUGCGUUUUCUUAUUUCUAUAUCUCUAACCCAAUCACAAUCUGUGUAUCCAACAAGUUCCAUGUCAUUAUUACUAGCAUAAAAAAUCGCAUCAGUCAGUGUACCUUUUAUAUAACGAAGAAUCCUCUUAGCUUAUUGCCAUUGGCUAAGGCAUGGAUCUUCCAUGAAUAUGCUAAGAAAACCAACUCCAUGUACUAUAUCAGGUCUUGUUGCAGUCAAAUAUCUCAGAAUUCCGAUCCAAAUUUUAUAUUUGGUUGAGUCUACCCUCUUUCCAUCAUUUUCUCUUGUCAACUUCAACUUUUCUUCAAUGGGCAUGUAAAUUUACUUUGAAUGCUCCAUCUUGAACUUCUUCAGAAUAUCAUUGGCAUCUUUCUUUUGGGAAAUUGAGGUCCCAUCAUUUUUGUUGAAUGACUUCAAUAAGAAAGUAGGACAUUAAGCCCAAAAAUGUCAUCUCAAAAUGUCUAAUCAUAACCUCCCUAUAUUUCACAAUCAUCUCUGAAUUAGUUCUAGUGAAAAUCAAGUCAUUAACAUAUAGGCACACAAUAAGGACAUCUCCAGGAUCAAUGUAUUUGAUAUAUAACGUGUGCUUAUAAGGACAUCUCUGAAAACCAUUAUGCACAAAAUAAGAAGCAAUCUUCUUAUACCAAGCUCUUGGCGCCUGCUUCAAGCCAUAUAAUUCUUUCUUCAAUGUAUAGAAUUUAUCUUCCUUUCCUUUGACUACAUAUCCUGUCGGCUUCUCAAUGCACACUUCUCCUUCCAGAUUACCAUUGAUAAAUGCAUAAUUAACAUCCAUUUUAUGCAUUUUCCAACUAUUUUGAGGUGAUAUCUAAAUAAGUAUUCUAAUUGUAUCCAACCUUGCAACAUGAGAAAAUACCUCAAAGUAAUAAAUACCUGGUUUUUGGUUGUAACCUUUUGCCACUAACCUUGCUUUAAAAUGAUCAAUCUCACUGAUGAGUUUAUACUUUAUCUUGUACACCCACUUCACACUUAUAGGUUUCUUGUUUGUCGGUAACUCUAUCAACUCCCAUGUUUGAUUUUUUUCAAUUACAGUGAUUUCUUCAUUCAUGGCUUUUCUCCAUUUUUUAUCACUCAAGGCUUCUUUAAAAUUUAAUGGUUCACAAUCUGCAAAUAAAGCAAAGUUGAUAAUCUCCACAUCAUAUGUGUCAUUAUCGUUACCCAAAACACAAUCUUGUAGUCUGGAUGGUAAUCUACACGACCUUUGUUGUCUGUUAGGUGUUUCUGGCUCAUCAGGUGCUGAAUCAUGUUCAUUCUUCACUUCGUAAUGAUUUGAAGUCACUAUUGGAUCUUUUUGUGACUUUGAGGACCAAUCACACAUCCCCCCUUCAUCAAAAGUCACAUCUCGACUGAUAAUCACCUUCUGUGUCUUUGGAUUGUAAAGCUUAUAAGCCUUUGAGUUUGAGCUAUAACCAACAAAGAUACAUCUUUUUCCUUUGUCAUAUAACUUUUUUCUCAAUUGAUCUGGUACAUGAGCAUAUGCAAUACAUCUAAAAACUUUACGGUGCCAGAUUGAAGGCCUUCUUCCAUUCCAAGCUCCUUCAGGAGUCUUUUCUUUGACACUUUUUAUAGGAAACCUGUUUAAAAUAUAAACCUCAGUAGCAACAACUUCUGCCCAAAACACCUUAGGAAUUUGUUUGGCUUUCAACGUGCAUCCCACCAUAUCCAUGAUUGUCUUAUUCUUACUUUCUACCACCCCAUUCUAUUGAGGUGUGUAUCUAGUUGUUAACUGAUGCUCAAUCCCAUGUUGUUCAAAUAAACUUGUACCAGUGAGGUAUUCUUGACCUCUAUAUGUUCUCAAGCUUUCAUUCUAUAACCACUUUGUUUUUAUACAAAUGGCUUGAAUGCAUCACAAAAUUCUGAUUUUUGUUUCAAGAAAUACACCCAAGCCUUUUUGCUAAAAUCAUCAAUAAAAGUAAUAAAGUACUUACAACCACUGGGUGUUGGUAUUUCCACUGAACACAAGUCUAAAUGAAUUAUCUGUAGUAGUUUCUUCGCUCGCCAAGACAUUCCAGUUAGAAAUGAGUCUUUGUGCUUCUUUACCAUUUGACAAGUUUCACAUACUCCAUUUGGAAUAUCCACAACAGACAAACCAUAAAUAUAUUCUUUUCACGACAAGUAAUUCAAGCCAGAAAAAUGAAAGUGACAAAAUCUCAUGUGCCACAACCAAUCAUCAUUUGGAAUGAUAGAACUCAAGCAAGGUAAUUUUUCAUGUUGAAUUUUCAAAGGAAAUAGAUGGUUCGAUGCCAUUCUUACCUUUGUGAUAAUUCUAUCAUUUCUGCCAAUCAACGUUCAAAAACCAUUGUGAAUUUGCAUGUUGUAACCUUUCUCUGACAUUUGUCUCAUACUCAAUAGAUUGUUAUGAAGACCAGGAGCAUAGAAAACAUCACCAAUAAAAUUUUGAGAUCCAUCUUUCAACUUGAUAGAAAUUUGACCUUUUCCCAAAAUUGGAAUAUUUGAAUUGUUUCCGAACUUCACGGUAGAUUUUACCGUUUUGUUUAGAGAAGAAAAUAAUUCCUUUUCCCACACAUAUGAUUACUACACACAGUAUCCAAAUACCAAAUAUCCUCUUCUUUAGAAAAUGUAUUACUUGCCAAAAACAAAUUUUGUGGAUUUUCACAGUACUCACUAGUAUUUUGAUACGAGCUUUCUGCCACAUUUGCUUGAUGUUUGUAUAUGUAAUCAACUGCUUUGUGUCCAAACUUUUGAUAGUGAUAACAACUAUAAUUCACCCUUUCUUAGAAGUUGAAGGAUGACAUUGAGGCUAUUCUUCUUUUUCCUAUUUUAUGCGAUAUCUUGAUUCCUUUGCUAUGAUCUUUAACACUGCGCAUGCGAACAUUUUGUUUCAUUGUUGAUGUGUGUAUUAGAAUUGUAAAUCAUUAUGUUAUGCAUUGUUGAGUUACUUUAUUUAAAUUAUUUUCCACUACGAUGAGCCUAUGUAAAAAGGCGAGUAUAUGAUGACAAAUGUUUAAGUAUGACAUGUUUUAUCUAACCCGUGUUACAAAAUAGGUUUAUAUCGUGUUUGCGUGACACCCUAUAUGUAUAGCUAUUUUGUUUUCGUAUUAUUCCAUGUUGGGGUUGUUAGUGUGUUACACCUCCCAUAUCAAUCCAACGGAUGACCGUAGUCCACAGUUUUCCACAUGCUUGCAGUUUUCGGUCAUUCCCUUAUUUAAAGAGGAAAACACACCACUUCACAUGUAUUCAAAUCAUUUUCCAUUUUAAAAUUCACUUUUCACUCUUUUAAUAGAUAAUUGAAGUUCUAACUUUGUCAACCUCCUCUCCACCCCAUCGAAAACCACAAACCACCAUAACAGAUUGUGAACUUAAUCUUUUCAAUUAACUCUAGUUCCAGCACAAAAUUUUUUUUCAUUAAUAUAUAAUAGAAGGGUAAUAAUAAAUUGUUGAAUAUUUUUUAAUCAAGUCGUGAUAAUUGCUUAUUAGGCUAAGUUUUCUCAUCUCUUUUAUUCUAGGCUAAGAUUGUGGAUCUCAUUAAGUACAUUUAGAGUAAAAACAUUGAUAUAUAUAUAUAUAUAAUAUAUAAACUCAUUUGUACCGUGUAAAAUAAAAUAAAUUGAAAACAAAUAUUCUUUAAUAUGGAAUCAAAGUGGGAAGAUCCCGAAAAUGAGAAGUCAGAGAAAAUUCCAACCUUUAAUGGUGAAAAAAGCAAUGUGACAACAACCCUUAUGCCUAGCUCACCUUACUAUCUCGCUUCCUCUAAAAAUCUAGGAAUGCCUCUUGUUGUAAUCACUCUCAGUGGUGACAAUUUCUAAACAUAGUCGCGAUCCAUGAGAACAGAGUUGCGAUCAAAAGCAAAGUUAGGUUUCAUUGAUGGAACCAUUAAGAAACCAGGACAGCAAUCGAAAGAUUGCUUCAACUGGAAAAGAGUCGAUUUGAUGGUUAUGGCAUGGAUCAUUAACUCGAAAAAUCCAACUCAACAUGAAAGAAUAUCACAUAGAUCGACACCACAAGAUAUGUGGCUCGAUCUGUAAGAACGAUUUGCCAGACUAAUGACCUAAGAGUUUAUCAAUUGUGGCGUAUUCCCUAUUUGAUGCAGAAAGAAAAUGAUUUAACUCUUACAGAAUUUUAUACCAAAUUCAAAGGUAUAUAUGAUGAGUUGAAUGAGUUGCAACCAUUACCAGGAAUGUUCAUAUGGGUCCUCCAAGGAAUUGAUGAAAAGAUAAGAAGAUCAAAAGCUUCACCUUUUCCUUAGCAAUAAUGCGAUGUAGAGAAGAAAUGAUCAACAAUAAACUAGAUGUAGGAGCAACAUUCUACUCUAGUGGAAACAAACAUAAGUGACGAGAAGAAUCCAAUGUAAAGUGUGAUCAUUGUGGUAAAAUUGGUCACAUAAAGUCAAAAUGUUUUGAAAUAGUUGGAUACCCAUCCAACUAGGACAUGCAUAGAGUGGAACGUGCCAAUGAAAAGCAAGAUGGAUAUGGCGUGACUUGCUUGGCAAUUGCUAAUGGAAACCAGAAUAUGGAAGACUUAGAGGAAGCAACAAUAGGUCGCGUGUUACAUGAAAUUCACAUAAAAAAUGGUGCAGUAACACGUGAAGGCAUGACUGGUAAUAAUGAGAAAAUACAAUGGGUUCUAGAUAGUAGUGGAUCACACCAUAUGACUGUUGGUGUAAGGCUUAGAGGACAAUACUUUGGGUACUUGUAUCGAAUUAUUUAUUAAUAAUAAAAGGCUUUUUCUUUAUUAUGUUUAUUUAAUAAAGUUCCUAGAAUAGCUAGUCCAUUUAAUGUAUCAAUUGUGAGUUAACAUAAUGACACUAUUCUUAAAGUAUCCGUAGUCGAGCUUUAUUGUGAAGUGGGAUAACAUUAAAGCAUUAAGACUAUUAUCUAUAUAGACUGAUGAUCACAUCUCAUAGAUCAUGGAUAAGGAGUUGUCAAGUCUUAAACAUAGGUAUGAAUAUUAGGAGUAAUAUUUAUACUAGAUUGACCCGCUAUGAGAAUACUACAUAGAGUAUUACGCAAAGUGUCAUAAGUUAUUCUCAUGGUGAUAAUGGUGUAUACCACCCUUCGACCUGAAACCACUAUGGACCCUAGAUGUAGAGUCGAGUGCUUUAUUACUGAUCAAACAUUAUCCAUAACUAGAUAACCAUAAAGACAGUUGAUGGGUACUCCACAAAGCAUGCUGAGGGACAUGAGUGACCUAGAUGAAAUUUGCCCAUCCAGCGUAACAGGAUAAAUAUCUAAGGGCCCAAUAUUGAAUUGGACAAGGAUGACACGGUCUAUGCCUUGUGUCCAAUAUACACAUAAGGGUAAAAGGGUAAGUGUACACAUGAUGUAUUAUCGCAAAAGGGUAAUUAUACACACAAGUAUUAUCACAAAAAGGGAUUUGUCAGAUCACAUGACAUUUUCGUGUCUUUGGUAGUAGUGAUGUGUUGCUAGAUAUCGCUCACUGUUUAUUAUGUUAAAUAUGUGAUUUAAUAUAAUUUCCAAUAUCACGAAAACCUACAGGGUCACACACAAAAGGACGGAUUGAUGAGAGACAAAGUAAAUAAGGAACACCGUAAGGUACGAUUGACUUAAGUGAAUUGUAGAACAUCAUAAUGUACAAUGCACUUAAGUAGAAUACAAAAUGUGGUAAGGUACCACGCACUUAAUUGAUUUUAGGUAUACCAUAAGAUAUGAGCCACAUACACUUAAAUGGGAUUUUUAGCUUGUAGCCCACACAAGUCGUUCUAUAAAUAGAACCCUUAUGCAGAAGCAUUUUACUUGAUGAAAUUUCAUUUCUCUCUCUCUCUCUCUCUCUCUCUCAAAGUCUUUAUUCGUAGCAACUAGCACUAAGAUUAAAGGAAUCCGUUCGUGUAGACUGAGUAGAGGCGUUGUCACAAUUCAAUGCUCGUGAUCACUCCUUAGAUUUGCAUCAAAGGUUUCAAUCGGCACAAGAGGUAAUGAUUUCUAUCACUAAUCAUUUCCAUUCGUAAGGAUCGCUAAAGGAAUUUUUUUAAUUUCCACUGCGUUUUGGAUCGCAAUUUUCCUUCAGUGGUAUCAGAGCCACUUACAAAACCAUCUAUAUGAUAGCUAUUUAUUUUCUAUAUUAAUACGAUUAAAAGACAAAAUGAAUUAAAUAAUAAACAAGCAAUUAAAUUUGGCAUCAUGCGUGUAUGAUUUGGAUGAUUGAUGUUGACUAUGCUUUGGAAUUCGAUGUUAGUAUGGUGAAGCAGCGAUACAUUGAUCAUCCAUAGGUUACACAAAUGAGAUCAGUCAAUUUAUAUAUAGAUAUAAGUGAUUCUGAAGGAAAAUAUGAUAGAUAUGAUAUACUGUUUCUAUUUCGUUCAUUCAAACACUUAAUGAUUGUUAUUCCUUUGAGCGAUCAAUGGUCAUUUGCUUCGGAAUCUGACAUUAGUAUGGUGAAGAAAUGCCGUGUUGAUCAAUCAUACUGAAUUAUCAAUUGAGGUGUGUUUGACGGUAUGAAAUUGUUGCAUUAGGGUUCAUGACGGUACAAGGGUUGUGUUGUUAAAGAGUUAUGUGAUUAGGCUUGUGACUACAUAAGAGUUGUACUUUAAAGUAUCAAGUGUUGAUGCGAAAAAUGACGUCGGUUUCAAAUGAAUUGUUCAUUAGAAUUUUGCGUCGGGGCGCUGCCUCUGACAACCCCGCAGGAGACGCUUCCCCCUUGACCCCCGUCCGCUGAACGGUUAGUGGAACCACCGUCAACUGACUGGACAGCAGAACCUCCGGCUAACUCUGCGUAGUGUGACAAAUCGCCAAAAUUUAAUUUAGUUUAUUUAAUUAACAGAAUUUAAAUUAAUAAUAAUAAUGUGUUUAUUAUUAUUAUCUUGCGGUGAUCAAUUAUGGCCUUAGUUUUCCUUUAUUUUAUUUGUGAGAUUUUAAAAUACGGCCUGCGUGUUAUGCGUCUUUUUUUUAAUCUCUUAAUGUAACUUCUUUUCUCAUCUCACUCCCUCGUAUGUAAAAUGAGUUUCUUUUAUGUAAUGUAAUAUAAUGAAGAAAGAGAAGAAUACAAUAUCAAAGGAGGACAACCUUGAAUAUCUUCCUUGGAGAAGCUUAGAUCGUUAUUAGGUUAGCUUAGGUUCUCUCAUUAGCUUGGGAGAACAAUUGCGCUAGGGCCCAUAAGUGUUUCAUUUUGUAUGCAUGUUGAUGCAUGUGAGAGACGAUUUAUAUGAUAAAUAAGCCGGUGAGAUCAAAAUAAUUGCAAAUUCCCUCAAAUUAAAUAUUAAGUUUAUGCUUUCCAAGUUUUAGCACUUAUCAAGACUAGUAUCAAAUAAUAUAGGUUUCGCCUACGCGAGGUGCAUGUUCUAUAUUAGUAAGAUGAGAUGGGAUAAUUGUAAUAUCCAAUUGCUAAAACAAUGGGUCAAACUUAACUAAAUAAAUUAU